GCUUGUUGACCGUGCGCCUGUGUUAGUGGGUGGGUGUUUGUAACUUGUGUGUGUGUGUGUGUGUGUGUAUGAUCGGCUUACCCCUUUUUUCCCCAAGGAACAGCUGGUGCGUUUUGAUGUGAAGAUCAAAAUGAUAGGGUUUCCUCGUGUUGGUGUAACAUACGUGUACAGGGCUGUGCAACCUCGUUUGUACUAAAGUUGUAAGCUCGGUUGGUAUGAAAGGCAGCUUGGUGGCUGGCUGAUUGGUGUUGUACCCCACGCCUAAGAGCAACUCCAACGGGUCGACCCAGACACGGAUUUUAUUCUUUUUUUUGUCCGUUUGAGUUGCCCGUCCGUGUUUGCUUUUUUGAUUGGGUCGGUCGGUGCAUCCAACGGGGCAGACGCAUUUUUAACAUGUCCGCGUUGUCAUUCAGUCGAACGCCUGGUACACGAGCUUCGUGCCGCCGCACGAAGCUCGUGCGCGCUCGCCGUGUCCACACCGCAGACCGCCGCCCCACAGCUCGCUGCGCCUCACGGCUCUCCUGUGCCGCCGCCUGCCCCAUGGCUCGCCGCGCCCACAGCUCGUUGCCCCGCCGCUCUCCCUGUGCCGCAGCUCGCUGCGCCUGCCUGCGGCUCUCCCCCUGUUGCCGCUCGCCGUGCUGGUGCUGCCCCGUGCCGCCACGAGCUCGCACCCCGCCCCCGCAGCAGCUUGCCAGGGUUGCAGCAGCUCUCACCCCGGCCGCGACACGCCCNNNNNNNNNNNNNNNNNNNNNNNNNNNNNNNNNNNNNNNNNNNNNNNNNNNNNNNNNNNNNNNNNNNNNNNNNNNNNNNNNNNNNNNNNNNNNNNNNNNNNNNNNNNNNNNNNNNNNNNNNNNNNNNNNNNNNNNNNNNNNNNNNNNNNNNNNNNNNNNNNNNNNNNNNNNNNNNNNNNNNNNNNNNNNNNNNNNNNNNNNNNNNNNNNNNNNNNNNNNNNNNNNNNNNNNNNNNNNNNNNNNNNNNNNNNNNNNACACACACAGAUCAGGGACCUAUAAGAAGUAUGUAGGUUAUUUUCCCUAGUCCUCAAUAUCCUAUACAUGUGUAUUUGUGAUGUUUCCUAAUUCCAAUUGAACAUCCGUAGGGCAGCGACUUCAUUAAUGGGCAUCAUAGAGACGCUUGUGGUGAAAAUUUUAAAUCCUCGAUCCUUUCUGAUCCCGAACUCAGAGUGAUGAAGCCUCACCUUAGAAAGUGGGCACAAAUUGAUAGUGCUCCUGGUGUGAAUUGGAAGGCCAAAUUUGAUGGCAAGUUUAAAUCUGAUCUGAUUCUAAAUAUUACUAGUACUUAUGUCAAUGCAUGGCAUAAAAAUGACACAUCCAAUAAUUCAAUUAAACUGCCACAUGCAAUAAUUCAAAUAAAUACCAUCGUCAGUAGCCUGUUGGCUUACAUGGUUGAAUUGCAUGGCUUUUUCCAAUGGGACUAAAUACACUGUGAGUUAACCAUGUUUGGACACUUUUCAUGUCCAGCAGAGAUGGUUGUUCCCCCUCUUUUGCCUCGAAGUUCAUUUCAACCAAACGAUAUAUUGGAAAAUGAACCAGAAGAAUAUUCAGGAGCAAAGGUUAGCUUAGUUUCUUAUCUCCGUGUUAGAAAAUUAUAUGGAAACAUGAGGGCAGGGGGAACUGAAAAACACUCGUCUGCUAAUUAUCUUUGCUUUCUGAGUGAUUAUCCUUCAAGCAUUGAUCCUCAUGUCUUGUGCCUGAAAAACCUAAUGCUUAGUUUAUUUGUGCCAUGAUAACGGAUUGUUGGACCAUAUAGAUGAUCUUUAUGAUGAUGAAAUGAGAUGCUCUCGAAGCAUAAGCACCAAAGUCAAUAGUUGGUUGUCUGAGUUUGAACAGGCCAGUGCCUUCUAAACUGCAGUCUUUUGUUGAAAACUUUUCAAGCUAUAUCACUUGAAACAAUGACGAUUCAGCGGUGGGGAGGCCGGGAGGCGGAUCCGUUGGUGGGGAGGAGCUUGUUGGACCCAUGACUCCAUGCCCUCUGCUCGACCUUUGUCUUCUAUCGUAGUUGUCGUAGCCCAUCAUUCUAACGGUAAAUCUCUAUUUUUUUGAGGAAUUCCUUUCCCCACUCUAAUAAUAAAAAGUGUUUUGUACACUCUACAACGCCUAUGAAGCCGACUUAAAAAUAGAUGCCUCAAGAAUGCACAUGCCGGACGCACGCACAUUACUCGUUACCCACCUGAAAGAGGUGUGAUAUCAAUUACCCAACUUCAUUGGAAUUUUCUAGCAACCAGUCUAAUUCAGCAUAGGAAAUGUUGCAAAGAAAAGUCUGCAAACAUGGGAUGAAAUAAUCUUCAGGUAAUGGACAUAUAGCAACAUAUACAUACAGAACAUGCAUACCAUGUACGUGAUAUAUCCCAUUUAGUCUCAUUGUCCUAUCAAGCACUUAUCUCCUCAAACAAAGAAAAGAUUUGUGCUGGGGUUUAUAUUUGGGUUGGGGGUGGGGGCUUCAUUUGGAUAUGUAAACAUGAUUUUUGGGAGGAAGAAUACAUAGUGAGGCACUUUUUUAGGGAUACACAACAAGGCAGCUGGUUGGUGACGGAGGGAUUACUCGUAGAGGCAGACACGCGUAACUUUUUUUCUAUCUAAUAAAGUAUGUUCUUCAUUCCUCGGAUAACAGAGGGCACAUGGGUAGUCAGGAAUGAGAAAAAAAAACACAUCCAAGGAAAUGUGAAUAAUUUUUUCCAAAUGGUGUACAAAGCUUCUCACAUGUCCAUUUGUUCAGUGUCAUUUUUUCGUGGUUAUUUUAAAGUACUCUCGCAUCCCUGUUUUAAUUCGAAUAAUCCAUGUCUUGUAGUCAAAGGGUUCAGGUUUGACAUUAAAACUGAUAAUGAGGUGUUCAUUUGGGCAUUUAGACUAAAAGGGAAUAAUAGUUUUGAAGACCUUAGAUAUCAAACAAUUUCCAAGUGCAUUUCUACAACUAUACUGUAUAUGUUCUCUAGAAAAUUGAAAUGCUUUUCUUCCUUACCAUGUAGAAGUUUGUUACUGGACAUGCUAUUAGCGCGUUACAAGAAAAUUAAAUAAUAUAUUUUUUCUAAGAAAGAAUACAUCAACAGGAUAUGCGUAUUGCCAUCCACUUCGUUUAUGUGAGCAAUUGUGUACACAUUUUUAAUUUGCGAACCAUACUCUGGAAUUUAAAGUCCUAAUCUAUUUACAUUUUUUUCUAGAACACGCAAGAGGAUUGCGUGUCUUAUAUAUUAAGAAAGGAGGAGAAAUGAUUCAGUUGCAUGAUGGCAAAUCAUAGACGCCGCCCAACACCACCAACAGAAGAACACAAGGAACCUAUCCUCCACAACCCCACCAGCACCAGACCCAAUCCUAGCUCGCUUCCAAAGCAGCAAGUCGGGCAUGAGUUUUCGCCACCACCCUCGGGGUCAUGACGGCAACACGAUCGAAAACCCUACUGUUUCGCUCAAGCCAAAUGUUACAUUUGGAGUAUGGUAUCACAGCAACUUAUGCCUCUGGAAGGUCCACAUAUUGAAAUUACUAUAGAGUUUAGUUGUAAAAUAUUUAAAUUAAUCCUUCAAUUUAUGUUGAAGUAUAUGUGCAUUGUCCAACUUUCUCCAUAUGUUCUGUCUUUUGAUUAAACUAGUUGGCGCAUCCAAUUGUACGUGGUAUGGGUCAAGAGGUCUUGACCGACUUGUGCAAUUUAAGGUAAAAAUGUGUAGCCCAUAUUUGUACCAUAUAUAGAUAUGAGGGAGCCACACAUGGGGCGGGAAGUUGAAGAAAUGGGUGCAUACAUGUAAAGGCUAACCAUGUUUAAUAGACUCUCUCACAAAAAAUGGAAAGCUCACUAACUCUUGAUUGGUCUGAAAAUACUACUAAAGUAAAUUAUACCAUAAUCUGAGCAUUGAAAUUCACUCUAUAUUUUCUACUUUGCGUAUGUACGUUGGCUAUAUCUGAUUAUUUGUGUUGUGGGCCAUACUUAGAUCUCAACAGUCAAGGGUCAAGACUUAUACAUCUCGGUAAGUCUUCAGGAAAAAUGGUGGACCUUGUAGCUAUGUCUGGCGUCCCUUGACCUGCUUAUUAUUUUACUUGAAAGCUUUGCCACCUUCCUUUUUUGCACCAGUUCAACUUCAAUGUGGUCAGUGUGGAAUUGAUGUUUAUCUUCUUGGCUAAACUUAGCAAUGCUGAGGAAUUUAUGAUUAAUCUACUCCGUUUUAGGUUGAUGAUUUUAUGCUUUUUUUGCAUCAACAAAUAAAGGAACUUUUAGGAUCAGGAGUUUGCUUGAAAGCCUCUUUUGGUUCAUGGAUGUUCGUUCCUUUAUCAACAAUUCCAGGCUUCAAGGAUGAGAUCAAGCUAGAUCAAGGACCUAUUAGAAGUAUGGAGGUUAUUUUCCCUAGUCUCCAAUAUCCUAUAUAUGUGUAUUUUUUAUGUUUCCUAAUUCCAAUUGAAGAUCCGCAGGGUAUCGACUUAAUUAAUGGGCAUCAUGCAGAUGCUUGUGGUGAAAAUUUUGAAUCCUCAAUCCUUUCUGGUCCUGAACUCAGAGUGAUGAAGCCUCACCUUGGAAAGUCGGAAUAAAUUAAGGGUGCUACUGGUGUGAAUUUCAAGCCCAAAUUUGAUGGCAAGUUUCAAACUGAUGUGAUUCUAAAUAUUACUACUACUUAUGUCAAUGCAUGGCACAAAAAUGACACAUCCAAUAAUUCAAUUAAACCGACACAUUCAAUAAUUCAAUAAAAUAUAAUCGUUAGUAGCCUGUUGGCUUACAUGGUUGAAUUUCAUGGCUUUUUCCAAUGGGACAAAAUACACUUUGAGUUAACCCUGAUGUGACAUUUUUCAGGUCCAGCAGAGAUGGUUGGUCCCCCUCUUUUGCCACAAAGUUCAUUUCAACCAAACAAUAUAAUGGAAAAUGAAACAGAAGAAUAUUCAGGAGCAAAUGUUAGCUUAGCUUAUCUCUAUGUUUGAAAAUUAUCUAGAAACAUGUGGGCAGGGGGAACUGAAAGACACUCAUCUGCUAACUAACUUCGUUGUGUGGCUAAUUAGCCUUCAAGCAUUGAUCCUCAUGUGUUGUGCCUGAAAAACCUAAUGCUUAGUUUAUUUGUGCCGUGACAACAGAUUGUUGGACCAUAUAGAUGAUCUUUAUGAUGAUGAAAUAUAAUGCUCUCGAAGCAUAAGCACUAAAGUCAAUAGUUGGUUGUCUGAGAUUGAUCAGGUGAGUGCCUUCUAAACUGCAGUCUUCAUUUGAAACCUUUUCAAGCAAUAUCACUUGAAACAAUGAUGAUUUUAUGGCUAGGUGGCCGGGAGGUGGAUCCCUUGGCAGGGAGGAGCUCGGUGGACCCAUGACUCCAUGCCCUUUGCUCGGCCUUCGUCUUCUGUCGUAGUUGUAUUAGCCCAUCGUUCCAACGGCAAAGCUCUAUUUUUUGAGGAAAUGAUUUUCCCACUCUUAUAAUAAAAAGUGUUUUGUACACUCUACAACACCUAUGAAGCCAUCUUAAAAAUUGAUGCCUCAAGAAUGCACAUGUCGAACGACCGCACAUUACUCAUUACCCAAGUAAAAAAAGGCGUGUAUACAUUACCCAGCUUCAUUGGAGUUUUCAAGCAAUGAGUAUAAUUCGGCGUAAGAAAUGUUGCAAAGAAAAGUCUGCAAACUUGGGCUGAGACAUUCUUCAGGCAAUGGACAUAUAACAACAUAUAUGUACAUACAUACCAUGUACCUGAUAUAUCCCAUUUAGUCUCCUUAUCCUAUCAAGCACUUAUGUCGUCAAACAAACAUAAGAUCAGGUGCUGAGGUUUAUAAUUGGUUUGGGGGCUUCAUUUAAAUAUCAUCGUCAGUAGCAUGUUGGCUUAGAUGGUUGAACUGCAUGGCUUUUUCCAAUGGGACUAAAUACACUGUGAGUUAACCCUGAUGGGACAUUUUUCAGGUUCAGCAGAGAUGGCUAUUCCCACUUUUUUUGCCUCGAAGUACAUUUCAACCAAACAAUACAUUGGAAAAUGAACUAGAAGAAUAUCCAUGAGCAAAGGUUACCUUAGUUUCUUAUCUCUAUGUUUGAAAAUUAUCUAGAAACAUGAGGGCAGGGGGAACUGAAAGGCACUCGUCUGCUAACUAACUUCGCUUUCUGAGUGAUUAGCCUUCAAGCAUUAAUCCUCAUGUCUUGUGCCUGAAAAACCUAAUGAUUAGUUUAUUUGUGCCAUGACAACGGAUUGUUGGACCAUAUAGAUGAUAUUUAUGAUGAUGAAAUGAGAUGCUCUUGAAGCAUAAGCACCGAAGUCAAUAGUUGGUUGUCUGAGUUUGAGCGGGCCAGUGCCUUCCAGACUGCAGUCUGCAGUUGAAACCUUUUCAAGCUAUAUCACUUGAAAAAAAUGACGAUUCAGCGUUGGGGAGGCUGGGAGGCGGAUCCGUUGGUGGGGAGGAGCUCGGUGGACCCAUGACUCCAUGCCCUCUGCUCGGCCUUUGUCUUCUAUCGUAGUUGUACUAGCCCAUCACUCUAAUGGUAAAUCUCUAUUUUUUGUGAGGAAAUGCUUUCCCCACUCUAAUAAUAAAAAGUGUUUUGUACACUCUACAACGCCUAUGAAGCCGACUUAAAAAUAGAUGCCUCAAGAAUGCACAUGCCGGACGCGCGCACAUUACUCAUUACCCACCUGAAAAAAGGUGUGAUAUCAAUUACCCAACUUCAUUGGAGUUUUCUAGCAAUCAGUCUAAUUCAGCAUAAGAAAUGUUGCAAAGAAAAGUCUGCAAAUAUGGGAUGAAAUAAUCUUCAGGUAAUGGACAUAUAGCAACAUAUACAUACAGAACAUGCAUACCAUGUACGUGAUAUAUCCCAUUUAGUCUCGUUGUCCUAUCAAGCACUUAUCUCCUCGAACAAAGAAAAGAUCAUGUGCUGGGGUUUAUAUUUGGUUUGAGGGGUGGGGGCUUCAUUUGGAUAUGUAAACAUGAUUUUUGGGAGGAAGAAUACAUAGUGAGGCACUUUUUGAGGGAUACACAACAAGGCAGCUGGUUGGUGACGGAGGGAUUACUCGUAGAGGCAGACACGCGUAACUUUUUUGUCUAUCUAAUAAAGUAUGUUCUUCAUUCCUCGGAUAACAGAGGGCACAUGGGUAGUCAGGAAUGAGAAAAAGAAACACAUCCGCGGAAAUGUGAAUAAAAUUUUCCAAACGGUGUACAAAGCUUCUCACAUGUCCAUUUGUUCAGUGUCAUUUUUUCGUGGUUAUUUUAAAGUACUCUCGCAUCCCUGUUUUAAUUCGAAUAAUCCAUGUCUUGUAGUCAAAGGGUUCAGGUUUGACAUUAAAACUAAUAAUGAGGUGUUCAUUUGGGCACUUAGACUAAAAGGGAAUAAUAUUUUUGAAGACCUUAGAUAUCAAACAAUUUCCAAGUGCAUUUCUACAACUAUACUGUAUAUGUUCUCUAGAAAAUUGAAAUGCUUUUCUUCCUUACCAUGUAGAAGUUUGUUACUGGACAUGCUAUUAGCGCGUUACAAGAAAAUUAAAUAAUAUAUUUUUUCUAAGAAAGAAUACAUCAACAGGAUAUGCGUAUUGCCAUCCACUUCGUUUAUGUAAGCAAUUGUGUACACAUUUUUAAUUUGCGAACCAUACUUUGGAAUUUAAAGUCCUAAUCUAUUUACAUUUUUUUCUAGAACACGCAAGAGGAUUGCGUGUCUUAUAUAUAUUAAGAAACGAUGAGCAAUGAUUCAGUUGCAUGAUGGCAAAUCAUAGACGCCGCCCAACACCACCAACAGAAAAACACAAGGAACCUAUCCUCCACAACCCCACCAGCACCAGACCUAAUCCUAGCUCGCUUCCAAAGCAGCAAGUCGGGCAUGAGUUUUCGCCACCACCCUCGGGGUCAUGACGGCAACACGAUCGAAAACCCUACUGUUUCGCUCAAGCCAAAUGUUACAUUUGGAGUAUGGUAUCACACCAGCUUAUGCCUCUGGAAGGUCCACAUAUUGAAAUUACUAUAGAGUUUAGUUGUAAAAUAUUUAAAUCAAUCCUUCAAUUUAUGUUGAAGUAUAUGUGCAUUGUCCAAAUUUCUCCAUAUGUUUUGUCUUUUGAUUAAACUAGUUGGCGCAUCCAAUUGUACGUGGUAUGGGUCAAGAGGUCUUGACCGACUUGUGCAAUUUAAGGUAAAACUGUGUAGCCCAUAUUUGGGCCAUAUUUACAUAUGAGGGAGCCACACGUGGGGCGGGAAGUUGAAGAAAUGGGUGCAUACAUGUAGAGGCUAACCAUGUUUAAUAGACUCUCUCACAAAAAAUGGAAAGCUCACUAACUCUUGAUUGGUCUGAAAAUACUACUAAAGUAAAUUAUGCCAUAAUUUGAGCAUUCAAUUCACUCUAUAUUUUCUACUUUGCGUAUAUAUGUUGGCUAUAUCUGAUUAUUUGUGUUAUGGGCCAUACUUAGAUCUCAACAGUCAAGGGUCAAGACUUAUACUUCUCGGUAAGUCUUCAGGAAAAAUGGUGGACCUUGUAGCUAUGUCUGGCGUCCCUUGACCUACUUAUUAUUUUACUUGAAAGCUUUGCCACCUUCCUUUCUGCAUCAUUUCAACUUCAAUGUGGUCAGUGUGGAAUUGAUGUUUUAUCUUCUUGGCUAAACUUAGCAAUGCUGAGGAAUUUAUGAUUAAUCUACUCCGUUUUUAGGUUGAUGAUUUUAUGCUUUUUUGCAUCAACAAAUAAAGGAACUUUUAGGAUCAACAGUUUGCUUGAAAGCCUCUUUUGGUUCAUUGAUGUUCGUUCCUUUAUCAACAAUUCCAGUCUUCAAGGAUGGGAUCAAGCUAGAUCAGGGACCUAUUAGAAGUAUGGAGGUUAUUUUCCCUAGUCCCCAGUAUCCUAUAUAUGUGAAUUUUUUAUGUUUCCUAAUUCCAAUUGAAGAUCCGCAGGGCAUCAACUUAAUUAAUGGGCAUCAUGGAGAUGCUUGUGGUGAAAAUUUUGAAUCCGCAAUCCUUUCUGGUCCUGAACUCAGAGUGAUGAAGCCUCACCUUGGAAAGUCGGAACAAAUUAAGGGUGCUACUGGUGUGAAUUUCAAGCCUAAAUUUGAUGGAAAGUUUCAAACUGAUGUGAUUCUAAAUAUUACUAGUACUUAUGUCAAUGCCUGGCACAAAAAUGACACAUCCAAUAAUUCAAUUAAACCGACACAUUCAAUAAUUCAAUAAAAUAUAAUCGUCAGUAGCCUAUUGGCUUACAUGGUUGAAUUUCAUGGCUUUUUCCAAUGGGACUAAAUACACUGUGAGUUAACACUGAUGUGACAUUUUUCAGGUCCAGCAGAGAUGGUUGUUCCCCCUCUUUUGCCACAAAGUUCAUUUCAACCAAACAAUAUAAUGGAAAAUGAAGCAGAAGAAUAUUCAGGAGCAUAUGUUUGCUUAGCUUAUCUCUAUGNNNNNNNNNNNNNNNNNNNNNNNNNNNNNNNNNNNNNNNNNNNNNNNNNNNNNNNNNNNNNNNNNNNNNNNNNNNNNNNNNNNNNNNNNNNNNNNNNNNNNNNNNNNNNNNNNNNNNNNNNNNNNNNNNNNNNNNNNNNNNNNNNNNNNNNNNNNNNNNNNNNNNNNNNNNNNNNNNNNNNNNNNNGAAAGACACUCAUAUGCUAACUAACUUCGAUGUCUGGCUAAUUAGCCUUCAAGCAUUGAUCGUCAUGUGUUGUGCCUGAAAAACCUAAUGCUUAGUUUAUUUGUGCCAUGACAAUAGAUUGUUGGACCAUAUAGAUGAUCUUUAUGAUGAUGAAAUGAAAUGCUCUCGAAGCAUAAGCACUUAAGUCAAUAGUUGGUUGUUUGAGAUUGAACAGGCGAGUGCCUUCUAAACUGCAGUCUGCAUUUGAAACCUUUUCAAGCUAUAUCACUUGAAACAAUGACGAUUUUACGGCUGGGAGGUGGAUCCGUUGGCAGGGAGGAGCUCGGCGGACCCAUGACUCCAUGCCCUUUGCUCGACUUUCAUCCUCGAUCGUAGUUGUAUUAGCCCAUCAUUCCAACGGUAAAGCUUUAUUUUUUGAGGAAAUGCUUUUGCCACUCUUAUAAUAAAAAGUGUUUUGUACACUCUACAAUGCCUAUGUAGCCAUCUAAAAAAUAGAUGCCUCAAGAAUGCACAUGUCGAACGACCGCACAUUACUCAUUACCCAAGUGAAAAAAGGCAUGAUAUACAAUACCCAGCUUCAUUGGAGUUUUCAAGCAAUCAGUCCAAUUCGGCGUAAGAAAUGUUGCAAAGAAAAGUCUGCAAACUUGGGCUGAAACAUUCUUCAGGCAAUGGACAUAUAACAACAUAUAUGUACAUACAUACCAUGUACCUAAUAUAUCCCAUCUAGUCUCCUUGUCCUAUCAAGCACUUAUGUCCUCAAACAAAGAAAAGAGCAGGUGCUGAGGUUUAUAAUUGGGUUGGGGGCUUCAUUUGGAUAUGCAAACAUGAUUUUUGGGGGGAAGAAUACAAAGUGAGGCAUUUUUUAGGGAUACACAACAAGGCAGCUGGUUGGUGACACGGGGAUUACUCGUAGAGGAAGACACCAAAAACUUUUUUAGUCUUUGUAAUAGAGUAUGUUCUUCAUUCCUCAAAUAACAUAGGGCAUAGGACUAGUCAGGAAUGAGAAAAGAACACAUCCGAUUAAAUGUGAUUUUUUUGCAAAUGGUGUACUAAGCUUCUCACAUGUCCAUUUGUUCAACGUGAAUUUUUCAUGGUUAUUUUGAAGUACUCUAGUCGCAUCCCUGUUUUAAUUUGAGUCAUCUGUGUCUUGUAGUGAAAGGGAUCAUGUUUGUCAUUAAACUUAUAAUGAGGUGUUAAUUUGGGCAUUUAUACUGAAAUGGAACAAUAUUUUUGAAGACCUUAGAUAUCGAACAAUUUCUGAGUGCACUUCUGUAAUUAUACCGUAUAUGUUCUCUAGAAAAUUGAAAUGCUUUUCUUCCUUACCAUGCGCAAGAAGUUUGUUACUGGACAUGCUAUUACAGUGUUAAAUGAAAUUUAAAUAAUAUAAAUUAUUCUACGAAAGAAUACAUCAACAUGAUAUGCAUAUUGCUAUCCACUUCAUUUAUAUAAGCAAUUGUGUACACAUUUUUAAUUUGCAAACCAUACUGGAAUUUGAAGUCCUGAUCUACUUACAUUUUUUUAUAGAAGACACGAGAGGAGCGUGUCUUAUAUAUUAAGAAAACAGGAGAAAUGAUUCAGUUACAUGAUGGCACAACAUAGACGUCGACCAACACCACCAGCACCAGACCUAAUCCUAGCUUCCUUCCAAAGCAGACAGUCGGGCCUGAAUUUUCGCCAGCUCCCUCGGGGUCAUGAUGGCAACACGAUCAAAAACCCUACUGUUUCGCUCAAUCCAAAUGUUACAUUUGGAGUAUGGUAUCACACCAGUGUAUGCCUCUGGAAGGUUCGCAUAUUGAAAUUACUAUAGAGUUUAGUUGUAAAAUGUUUAAAUUAAUCCUUCAAUUUAUGUUGAAGUAUAUGUGCAUUGUCCAUCUUUCUCCACCAGUUCUGUCUUUUGAUUAAAUUGGUUGGUGCAUCCGGUUCUACGUGGUAUGGGUCAAGAGGUCUUGACCGACUUGUGCAAUUUAAGGUAAAAAUGUGUAGCCACACGUGGGGCGGGAAGUUGAAGUAUGGGUGCAUACAUGUAGAGGCUAACCGUGUUUAGUAGACUCUCUCUCAUAAAAAAUGGGAAAACUCUCUAACUCUUGAUUGGUAAGAAAAAUACCAGUAAAGUAAUGUAUGCCAUAAUUUUAGCAUUCAAAUUCACUAUAUAUUUUCUACUUUGGGCAUACACGUUGGCUAUAUCAGAUUAUUUGUGUGGUAUACCAUACUUAGGUCUCAACAGUCAAGGGUCAAGAUUUAUACUUCUAGGUAAGUCUGUAGGAAAAAUGGUCGACCGUGUAACUAUGUUUGGCGUCCCUUGAUCUGCUUAUUAUUUUACUUGAAAGCUUUGCCAUCUUCCUUUUUUGCAUCAUUUUAAAUUCAGUGUGGUAAGUGUGGAAUUUAUGUUUUUUUCUUUCUGGCUAAACAAAACAACGUUGAGGAAUUUAUGAUUAAUCUACUCAUGUUUUAGGUUGAUGAUUUUAAGCUUUUUUGCAUCGACAAAUAAAGGAAAUUUAAGGAUCCGCAGUUUGCUCGAAAGCCUCUCUUAAUUCAUUGAUGUUUGUUCCUUUGUCAACAAUUCCAGGCUUCAAGGAUGAGAUCGAGCUAGAUAAUGGACCUAUAAGAAGUAUGGAGGUCAUUUUCCCUAGUCCCUAAUAUCCUAUAUGUGUGUGUGUGUGUGUGUGUGUGUGUGUGUGUGUGUGUGUGUGUGUGUGUAUUUGUGAUGUUUCCUAGUUCCAAUUGAACAACCGCAGGGCAGCGUCUUCAUUAAUGAGCAUGAUGGAGAUGCUUGUGGUGAAAAUUUUCAGGCCUCAAUCCUUUCUAGUCCUGAACUCAGAGCCAUGAAGCCUCGCCUUGGAAAGUCAAAACAAAUUGAUAGCGCUACUGGUGUGAAUUGCAGGCCCAAAUUUGACAGCAAGUUUCAAACUGAUUUGAUUCUAAAUAUUACUAGUACUUAUGUCAAUGCAUGGCAUAAAAAUGACACAUCCAAUAAUUCAAUAAAAUAUCAUUUUCAGUAGCCUGUUGGCUUACAUGGUUGAAUUGCAUGGCUUUGUCCAGACUAAAUACAAUGUGAGUUAACCCUGAUGGGAUAUUUUUCAGGUCCAGCAGAGAUGGUUGUUCCCCCUCUUUUGCCUCGAAGUACAUUUAAACCAAACAAAGAAUAUAUUGGAAAAUGAACUAGAAGAAUAUACAGGAGCAAAGGUUAGAUUAGUUUCUUAUAUCCGUGUUUGAAAAUUAUCUGGAAACAUGAGGGCAGGGGGAACUGAAAGACACUCAUCUACUCACUAACUUUGCUUUCUGAGUGAUUAUCCUUCAAGCAUUGACCCUCAUGUCUUGUGCCUGAAAAACCUAAUGCUUAGUUUAUUUGUGCCAUGACAACGAAUUGUUGGACCAUAUAGAUGAUCUUUAUGAUGAUGAAAUGAGAUGCUCUCGAAGCAUAAGCAUUGAAGUCAAUGGUUGGUUGUCUGAGUUUGAACAGGCCAGUUCCUUCUAAACUGCAGGUCUGCAGUUGAAACCUUUUCAAGCUAUAUCACUUGAAACAAUGACGGUUCGACGACGGGGAGGCCGGAAGGCAGAUCCUCUGGCAGGGAGGAACCCGGUGGACCCAUUAUUCCGUGCCCUUCGCUCGGCCUUCGUCUUCUAUCGUAGUUUUAUUAGCCCAUCAUUCUAACGGUAAAGCCCCAUUUCUUGAGGAAAUGAUUUCCCCACUCUUAUAAUAAAAAGUGUUUUGUACACCCUACAAUGCCUAUGAAACCGACCAAAAAAUAGAUGCCUCAAGAAUGCACAUGUCAGAUGUGCGCACAUUACUGAUUACCCACGUGAAAAAAGUGUGAGAUCAAUUACCGAACUUCAUUGGAGUCUUCAAGAAAUCGGUCUAAUUCUGUGUAAGAAAUGUUGCAAAGAAAAUUCUAAAACAUGGGAUGAAACAAUCUUCAGGUAAUGGACAUAUAACAACAUAUACAUAGAUACAUACCAUGUACGUGAUAUAUCCCAUUUAGUCUCCUUGUCCUAGCAAGCACUUAUCUCCUCAAACGAAGAAAAGAUCAUGUGCUGGGGUUUAUCAUUGGGUUAGGGGCUUCAUUUGGAUAUGCAAACAUGAUUUUUGGGAGGAAGAAUACAUAGUGAGGCAUUUUUUUAGAGAUACACAACAAGGCAGCUGGUUGGUGACACAUGGAUUACACGUAGAGGCAGACACAAGUAACUUUUUUGUCUACCAAAUAAAGUAUGUUCUUCAUUCCACAGAUAAUAGAGGGCAUAGGGCUAGUCAGGAAUGAGAAAGAAAAAGACAUUCGAGGAAAUGUGAAUAAUUUUUUUCGAAAUGGUGUACUAAGCUUCUGACAUGUCCAUUUGUUCAGUGUAGUUUUUUGGGGGUUAUUUUAAAGUACUCUCGCGUCCCUUUUUUAAUUUGAAUCAUCCACGUCUUGUAGUCAAUGGGACCAGAAUUGACACUAAAACUGAUAAUGAGGUGUUAAUUUGGGCAUUUAGAUUGAAAGGGAAUAAUAUUUUUGAAGACCUUAGAUAUCAAACAAUUUCCAAUUGCACUUAUGUAAUUAUACUGUAUAUGCCCUCUAUAAAAUUGAAAUGCUUUUCUUCCUUACCAUGUGCAAGAAGCUAGUUACUGGGCAUGCUAUUAGCGCGUUACAAGAAAACUAAAUAAUAUAAUUUUUUUCAAAGAAAGAGUACAUCAACAAGAUAUGCGUAUUGCCAUCCACUUCGUUUAUGUAAGCAAUUGUAUACACAUUUUUAAUUUGCAAACCAUACUCUGGAAUUUGAAGUCCUGAUUUAUUUACAUUUUUUUCUAGAACCAUGCUAGAGGAUUGCAUGUCUUAUAUAUUAAGAAAGGAGGAAAAAUGAUCCAGUUACAUGAUGGCAAAGCAUAGACGCCACCCAACACCACCAACAGUAAAACACAAGGAACCUAUCCUCCACAACCCCACCAACACCAGACCUAAUCCUAGCUCGCUUCCAACGCAGCAAGUCGGGCAUGAAUUUUCGCCACCACCCUCGGGGUCAUGACGGCAACACGAUCGAAAAGCCUACUGUUUCCCUCAAAUCAAAUGUUACAUUUUGAGUAUGGUAUCACACCAGCUUAUGCGUCUAGAAGGUCCGCAUAUUGAAAUUACUAUAGAGUUUAGUUGUAAAAUGUUUAAAUUAAUAAUUCAAUUUAUGUUGAAGUAUAUGUGCAUGGUCCAUCUUUCUCCAUCUCUUCUAUCUUUUGAUUAAACUAGUUGGCGCAUCCAACUCUACGUGGUAUGGGUCAAGAGAUAUUGAACGACUUCUGCAAUUUAAGGUAAAAAUGUGUAGCCCACUUUUGGGCCAUCUUUAGAUAUGAGGGAGCCACACGUGGGGGGCGAAGCUGAAGAAUGGGUGCAUACAUGUAGAGGCUAACCAUGUUUAAUAGAGUCUCUCUCUCCAAAAAAUGGAAGCUCAGUAACUCUAGAUUGGUAUGAAAAGACUAGUAAAGUAAAUUAUGUCAUAAUUUGAGCAUCCAAAUUCACACUAUAUUUUCUACUUUGCGCAUAUAUGUUGGCUACAUCUGAUUAUUUGUGUUGUAGACCAUGCUUAGAUCUCAACAGUCAAGGGUCAAGACUUAUACGUCUCGGUAAGUCUUUACGAAAAAUUGUGGACUUUGUAACUAUGUGUGGUGUCCCUUGACAUGCUUAUUAUUUUACUUGAAAGCUUUGCCUUUUUUGCACCAUUUUAACUUCAAUGUGGUCAGUGUAGAAUAUAUGUUUUUUUUCUUUUUGGCUAAACUCAACAAUGUUAAGGAACUUAUGAUUAAUCUACUCAUGUUUUAGGUUGAUGAUUUUAUGCUUUUUUUGCAUCAAUGAAAAAGAGAAUUUGAGGAUCAACAGUUUGCUUGAAAGCCUCUUUUGAUUCAUUGAUGUUCGUUCCUUUAUCAACAAUUCCAGGCUUCAAGGAUGAGAUCAAGCUAGAUCAGGGACCUAUUAGAAGUAUGGAGGUUAUUUUCCCUAGUCCCCAAUAUCCUAUGUAUUUGUAGUUUUUACAUUUCCUAAUUCCAAUCAAACAUCUACAAGGCAGCGACUUCGAUAAUGGGCAUCAUGGAAAUGCUUAUGGUGAAAAUUUUCAAUCCUCAAUACUUUCUGGUCCUGAACUCAAAGUGAUGAAGCCUCACCUUGGAAAGUCGGAACAAAUUAAGGGUGCUACUGGUGUGAAUUUCAAGUCCAAAUUUGACGUCAAGUUUCAAAUUGAUGUGAUUCUAAACAUUACUAGUACUUAUGUCAAUGCAUGGCAUAAAAAUGACACAUACAAUAAUUCAAUUAAAUCAGCAUAUUCAAUAAUUCAAUAAAAUAUAAUCUUCAGUAGCCUGUUGGCUUACAUGGUUGAAUUGCAUGUCUUUUUCCAAUGGGAUUAAAUACACUAUGAGUUGAUCCUGAUGUAACAUUUUUCAGGUCUAGCAAAGAUGGUUGCUUUUGCCACAAAGGUCAUUUCAACCAAACAACAUAAUGGAAAAUGAAACAGAAGAAUAUUCAGGAGCAAAUGUUAGCUUAGCUUCUUAUCUCUAUGUUUGAAAAUUAUCUAGAAACAUGAAGGCAGGAGGAACUGAAAGACACUCAUCUGCUAAUUAACUUCACUUUUUGAGUGAUUAGCCUUCAAGCAUACAUCCUCAUGUCUUGUGCCUGCAAACCCUAAUGCUUAGUUUAUUUGUGCCAUGAUAAAAUAUUGUUGGACCAUAUAGAUGAUCUUUAUGAUGAUGAAAUUAGAUGCUCUCAGAACAUAAGCACUGAAGUCAAUAGUUGGUUGUUGGAGUUUGAACAUGCCAGUGCCUUCUAAACUGCAGUAUGUAGUUGAAACCUUUUCAAGCUAUAUCACUUGAAACAAUGCCAAUUUGACAGCUAGGAGGUCGGGAGGUGGACCCGUUGACUAGGAAGAGUCCAGUGGACCCAUGACUCCGUGCCCUCUGCUCAGCCUUCGUCUUCUAUCAUAGUUGUAUUAGCCCAUCAUUCUAACGGUAAAGCUCUAUUUUUUGAGAAAAUGCUUUUACCACUCUUAUAAUAAAAAGUAUUUUGUACAGUCUACAAUGCCUAUGAAGCCGACUUAGAAAUAGAUGCCUCAAGAAUGCACAUGUCAGACGACCGCACAUUACUCAUUACCCAAGUGAAAAAGUGUUAUAUACAUUACCCAACUUCAUGGACUCAACUCCCCUGACGUACUGCAGGGUGCAGUUGGGUCACUGAUAGGUGGGCCAACUUGCUUUCUGACCCACAUGUCAGUAGCCCAACUGCGCCCUACAGUACGUCUGAGGAGCCUCGUCCCAACUUCAUUGGAGUUUUCAAGCAAUUGGUCUAAUUCUGCGUAAGAAAUGUUGCAAAGAAAAGUCUGCAAACUUGGGCUGAAACACUCUUCAGAUAAUGGACAUAUAAGAACAUAUACGUACAUAUGUACCAUGUACGUGAUAUAUCACAUUUAGUCUGGUUGUCCUAUCAAGCACUUAUGUACUCGAAUGAAGAAAAGAUCAUGUGCUAACUAUGUCUGGUGUCCCUUGACCUGCUUAUUAUUUUACUUGAAAGCUUUGCCAUCCUCCUCUUUUUUGCAUCAUUUUAACUUUAGUGUGGUCAGUGUGGAAUUUAUGUAUUUUCCCUUCUGGCCAAACAAAGCAACGCUAAGGAAUUUAUGAUUAAUCUACUCCUGUUUUAAAUUGAUGAUUUUAAGCUUCUUUUUGCAUCGACAGAUAAAGGAAAUUUUAGGAUCCAUAGUUUGCUUGAAAGCCUCUGUUGAUGCAGCGAUGUUCGUUUAUUUAUCAAUAAUUCCAGGCUUCAAGGAUGAGAUCAAGCUAGAUCAUGGACCUAUAAGAAGUAUGGAGGUUAUUUUUCCUAGUCCCUAAUAUCCUAUAUAACUGUAUUUGUGAUGUUUCCUAAUUUCAAUUGAACAUCCACAUGGCAACGACUUCAUUAAUGGGCAUCAUGCAGAUGCUUGUGGUGAAAAUUUUCAAGCCUCACCUUGGCAAGUCAGAACAAAUUGAUAGUGCUACUGGUGUGAAUUGCAAGCCCAAAUUUGAUGGCAAGUUUCAAACUGAUUUGAUUCUAUAUACUACUACUACUUAUGUCAAUGCAUGGCAUAAAAAUGACACAUCCAAUAAUUCAAUUAAACCGCCACAUGCAAUAAUUCAAUUAAAUACCAUCGUCAGUAGCCUGUUGGCUUACAUGGUUGAAUUGCAUGGCUUUUUCCAAUGGGACUAAAUACACUGUGAGUUAACCAUGUUUGGACACUUUUCAUGUCCAGCAGAGAUGGUUGUUCCCCCUCUAUUGCCUCGAAGUUCAUUUCAACCAAACAAUAUAUUGGAAAAUGAACCAGAAGAAUAUUCAGGAGCAAAGGUUAGCUUAGUUUCUUAGCUCCGUGUUAGAAAAUUAUAUGGAAACAUGAGGGCAGGGGGAACUGAAAAACACUCGUCUGCUAAUUAUCUUUCCUUUCUGAGUGAUUAUCCUUCAAGCAUUGAUCCUCAUGUCGUGUGCCUGAAAAACCUAAUGCUUAGUUUAUUUGUGCCAUGAUAACGGAUUGUUGGACCAUAUAGAUGAUCUUUAUGAUGAUGAAAUGAGAUGCUCUCGAAGCAUAAGCACCGAAGUCAAUAGUUGGUUGUCUGAAUUUGAACAGGCUAGUGCCUUCUAAACUGCAGUCUUUUGUUGAAAACUUUCAAGCUAUAUCACUUGAAACAAUGACGAUUCAGCGGUGGGGAGGCCGGGAGGCGGAUCCGUUGGUGGGGAGGAGCUUGUUGGACCCAUGACUCCAUGCCCUCUGCUCGACCUUAUCUUCUAUCGUAGUUGUCGUACCCCAUCAUUCUAACGGUAAAUCUCUAUUUUUUUGAGGAAUUGCUUUCUCCACUCUAAUAGUAAAAAGUGUUUUGUACACUCUACAACGCCUAUGAAGCCGACUUAAAAAUAGAUGCCUCAAGAAUGCACAUGCCGGACGCGCGCACAUUACUCAUUACCCACCUGAAAAAGGUGUGAUAUCAAUUACCCAACUUCAUUGGAGUUUUCUAGCAACCAGUAUAAUUCAGCAUAAGAAAUGUUGUAAAGAAAAGUCUGCAAACAUGGGAUGAAAUAAUCUUCAGGUAAUGGACAUAUAGCAACAUAUACAUACAGAACAUGCAUACCAUGUACGUGAUAUAUCCCAUUUAGUCUCGUUGUCCUAUCAAGCACUUAUCUCCUCAAACAAAGAAAAGAUCUGUGCUGGGGUUUACAUUUGGGUUGGGGGUGGGGGCUUCAUUUGGAUAUGUAAACAUGAUUUUUGGGAGGAAGAAUACAUAGUGAGGCACUUCUUUAGGGAUACACAACAAGGCAGCUGGUUGGUGACGGAGGGAUUACUCGUAGAGGCAGACACGCGUAACUUUUUUUCCAUCUAAUAAAGUAUGGUCUUCAUUCCUCGGACAACAGAGGGCACAUGGGUAGUCAGGAAUGAGAAAAAAAACACAUCCAAGGAAAUGUGAAUAAUUUUUUUCCAAAUGGUGUACAAAGCUUCUCACAUGUCCAUUUGUUCACUGUCAUUUUUUCGUGGUUAUUUUAAAGUACUCUCGCAUCCCUGUUUUAAUUUGCAUAAUCCAUGUCUUGUAGUCAAAGGGUUCAGGUUUGACAUUAAAACUGAUAAUGAGGUGUUCAUUUGGGCAUUUAGACUAAAAGGGAAUAAUAUUUUUGAAGACCUUAGAUAUCAAACAAUUUCCAAGUGCAUUUCUACAACUAUACUGUAUAUGUUCUCUAGAAAAUUGAAAUGCUUUUCUUCCUUACCAUGUAGAAGUUUGUUACUGGACAUGCUAUUAGCGUGUUACAAGAAAAUUAAAUAAUAUAUUUUUUCUAAGAAAGAAUACAUCAACAGGAUAUGCGUAUUGCCAUCCACUUCGUUUAUGUGAGCAAUUGUGUACACAUUUUUAAUUUGCGAACCAUACUCUGGAAUUUAAAGUCCUAAUCUAUUUACAUUUUUUUCUAGAACACGCAAGAGGAUUGUGUGUCUUAUAUAUUAAGAAAGGAGGAGAAAUGAUUCAGUUGCAUGAUGGCAAAUCAUAGACGCCGCCCAACACCACCAACAGAAGAACACAAGGAACCUAUCGUCCACAACCCCACCAGCACUAGACCAAAUCCUAGCUCGCUUCCAAAGCAGCAAGUCGGGCAUGAGUUUUCGCCACCACCCUCGGGGUCAUGACGGCAACACGAUUGAAAACCCUACUGUUUCGCUCAAGCCAAAUGUUAUAUUUGGAGUAUGGUGUCACAGCAACUUAUGUCUCUGCAAGGUCCACAUGUUGAAAUUACUAUAGAGUUUAGUUGUAAAAUAUUUAAAUUAAUCCUUCAAUUUAUGUUGAAGUGUAUGUGCAUUGUCCAACUUUCUCCAUAUGUUCUGUCUUUUGAUUAAACUAGUUGGCGAAUCCAAUUGUACGUGGUAUGGGUCAAGAGGUCUUGACCGACUUGUGCAAUUUAAGGUAAAAAUGUGUAGCCCAUAUUUGUACCAUAUUUAGAUAUGAGGGAGCCACACAUGGGGCGGGAAGUUGAAGAAAUGGGUGCAUACAUGUAGAGGCUAACCAUGUUUAAUAGACUCUCUCACAAAAAAUGGAAAGCUCACUAACUCUUGAUUGGUCUGAAAAUACUACUAAAGUAAAUUAUACAAUAAUUUGAGCAUUGAAAUUCACUCUACAUUUUCUACUUUGCGUAUAUACGUUGGCUAUAUCUGAUUAUUUGUGUUGUGGGCCAUACUUAGAUCUCAACAGUCAAGGGUCAAGACUAAUACUUCUCGGUAAGUCUUCAGGAAAAAUGGUGGACAUUGUAGCUAUGUCUGGCGUCCCUUGACCUGCUUAUUAUUUUACUUGAAAGCUUUGCCACCUUCCUUUUUUGCACCAGUUCAACUUCAAUGUGGUCAGUGUGGAAUUGAUGUUUAUCUUCUUGGCUAAACUUAGCAAUGCUGAGGAAUUUAUGAUUAAUCUACUCCAUUUUAGGUUGAUGAUUUUAUGCUUUUUUUGCAUCAACAAAUAAAGGAACUUUUAGGAUCAGGAGCUUGCUUGAAAGCCUCUUUUGGUUCAUUGAUGUUCGUUCCUUUAUCAACAAUUCCAGGCUUCAAGGAUGAGAUCAAGCUAGAUCAAGGACCUAUUAGAAGUAUGGAGGUUAUUUUCCCUAGUCUCCAAUAUCCUAUAUGUGUAUUUUUUAUGUUUCCUAAUUCCAAUUGAAGAUCCGCAGGGUAUCGACUUAAUUAAUGGGCAUCAUGCAGAUGCUUGUGGUGAAAAUUUUGAAUCCUCAAUCCUUUCUGGUCCUGAACUCAGAGUGAUGAAGCCUCACCUUGGAAAGUCGGAACAAAUUAAGGGUGCUACUGGUGUGAAUUUCAAGCCCAAAUUUGAUGGCAAGUUUCAAACUGAUGUGAUUCUAAAUAUUACUAGUACUUAUGUCAAUGUAUGGCACAAAAAUGACACAUCCAAUAAUUCAAUUAAACCCACACAUUCAAUAAUUCAAUAAAAUAUAAUCGUUAGUAGCUUGUUGGCUUACAUGGUUGAAUUUCAUGGCUUUUUCCAAUGGGACAAAAUACACUGUGAGUUAACCCUGAUGUGACAUUUUUCAGGUCCAGCAGAGAUGGUUGGUCCCCCUCUUUUGCCACAAAGUUCAUUUCAACCAAACAAUAUAAUGGAAAAUGAAACAGAAGAAUAUUCAGGAGCAAAUGUUAGCUUAGCUUAUCUCUAUGUUUGAAAAUUAUCUAGAAACAUGAGGGCAGGGGGAACUGAAAGACACUCAUCUGCUAACUAAUUUCGCUGUGUGGCUAAUUAGCCUUCAAGCAUUGAUCGUCAUGUGUUGUGCCUGAAAAACCUAAUGCUUAGUUUAUUUGUGCCGUGACAAUAGAUUGUUGGACCAUAUAGAUGAUCUUUAUGAUGAUGAAAUAUAAUGCUCUCGAAGCAUAAGCACUGAAGUCAAUAGUUGGUUGUCUGAGAUUGAACAGGUGAGUGCCUUCUAAAUUGCAGUCUGCAUUUGAAACCUUUUCAAGCAAUAUCACUUGAAACAAUGAUGAUUUUAUGGCUAGGAGGCCGGGAGGUGGAUCCCUUGGCAGGGAGGAGCUCGGUGGACCCAUGACUCCAUGCCCUUUGCUCGGCCUUCGUCUUCUGUCGUAGUUGUAUUAGCCCAUCGUUCCAACGGUAAAGCUCUAUUUUUUGAGGAAAUGCUUUUCCCACUCUUAUAAUAAAAAGUGCUUUGUACACUCUACAACGCCUAUGAAUCCAUCUUAAAAAUAGAUGCCUCAAGAAUGCACAUGUCGAACGACCGCACAUUACUCAUUACCCAAGUAAAAAAGGCGUUUAUACAUUACCCAGCUUCAUUGGAGUUUUCAAGCAAUGAGUAUAAUUCGACGUAAGAAAUGUUGCAAAGAAAAGUCUGCAAACUUGGGCUGAGACAUUCUUCAGGCAAUGGACAUAUAACAACAUAUAUGUACAUACAUACCAUGUACCUGAUAUAUCCCAUUUAGUCUCCUUAUCCUAUCAAGCACUUAUGUCCUCAAACAAACAUAAGAUCAGGUGCUGAGGUUUAUAAUUGGUUUGGGGGCUUCAUUUGGAUAUGCAAACAUGAUUUUUGGGAGGAAUAAUACAAAGUGAGGCAUUUUUAGGGAUACACAGCAAGGCAGCUGGUUGGUGACACAGGGAUUACUCGUAGAGGAAGACACCGGAAACAUUUUUAGUAUUUGUAAUAGAGUAUGUUCUUCAUUCCACAAAUAACAGAGGGCAUUGGACUAGUCAUGAAUGAGAAAAAAAACACAUCCGAUGAAAUGUGAUUUUUUUGCAAAUGGUGUACUAAGCUUCUCACAUGUCCAUUUGUCCAGCAUGAAUUUUUCGUGGUUAUUUUGAAGUACUCUAGUCGCAUCCCUGUUUUAAUUUGAAUCAUCCGUGUCUUGUAGUGAAAGGGAUCAGGUUUGUCAUUAAACUGAUAAUGAGGUGUUAAUUUGGGGAUUUAUACUGAAAGGGAAUAAUAUUUUUGAAGACCUUAGAUAUCAAACAAUUUCCGAGUGCACUUUUGUAAUUAUACUGUAUAUGUUCUCUAGAAAAUUGAAAUGCUUUUGUUCCUUACCAUGCGCAAGAAGUUUAUUACUGGACAUGCUAUUAGAGUGUUAAAUGAAAAUUAAAUAAUAUAAAUUAUUCUAAGAAAGAAUACAUCAACAUGAUAUGCAUAUUGCUAUCCACUUCAUUUAUGUAAGCAAUUGUGUACACAUUUUUAAUUUGCGAACGAUACUCUGGAAUUUGAAGUCGUGAUCUAUUUACAUUAUUUAUAGAACACACAAGAGGAGCGUGUCUUAUAUAUUAAGAAAACGGGAGAAAUGAUUCAGUUACAUGAUGGCACAACAUAGACGUCGACCAACACCACCAGCACCAGACCUAAUCCAAGCUUCCUUCCAAAGCAGACAGUCGGGCAGGAAUUUUCGCCAGCACCCUCGGGGUCAUGACGGCAACACGAUCGAAAACCCUACUGUUUCGCUCAAGCCAAAUGUUACAUUUGGAGUAUGGUAUCACACUAGCUUAUGCGCCGGGAAGGUCCGCAUAUUGAAAUUACUACAGAGUUUAGUUGUAAAAUGUUUAAAUCAAUCCUUCAAUUUAUGUUGAAGUAUAUGUGCAUUGUCCAUCUUUCUCCAUGAUACGUCUCCAACGUAUCUACUUUUCCAAACACUUUUUCCCUUGUUUUGGACUCUAACUUGCAUGAUUUGAAUGGAACUAACCCGGACUGACGUUGUUUCAGCAGAAUUACCAUGGUGUUAUUUAUGUGCAGGAUCAAACGUUCUCGGAAUGAGCUGAAACUUCACGGAGACACUUUUCAGAAAAUAAGAAAAAUACCUGCCAAAGAUGAAGGCCAGGGGGCCCACCACCUUGACACGAGGGUGGGGCGCGCCCCCUACCUCGUGGGCCCCCUGUUGCCUCUCCGACUCCAACUCCACCUCCAUAUAUUGAGUUUCGAUGAGAAAAAAAUCAGAGAGAAGAAAUCAUCACGUUUUACGAUACGGAGCCGCCGACAAGCCCUAAAACCUCUCGGGAGGGCUGAUCUGGAGUCCAUUCGGAGCUCCAGAGAGGGGAAUCCGUCGCCAUCGUCAUCAUCAACCAUCCUCCAUCACCAAUUUCAUGAUGCUCACCGCCGUGCGUGAGUAAUUCCAUCGUAGGCUUGCUGGACGGUGAUGGGUUGGAUGGGAUCUAUCAUGUAAUCGAUUUAGUUUUGUUAGGGUUUGAUCCCUAGUGUCCACUAUGUUCUGAGACUGAUGUUGCUAUGACUUUGCUAUGCUUAAUGCUUGUCACUAGGGCCCGAGUGCCAUGAUUUCAGAUCUAAACCUAUUAUGUUUUCAUCAAUAUAUGAGUGUUCUUGAUCCUAUCUUGCAAGUCUAUAGUCAUGUAUUAUGUGUUAUGAUCCGUUAACCCCGAAGUGACAAUAAUCGGGAUACUUACCGAUGACCGUAGUUUGAGGAGUUCAUGUAUUCACUAUGUGUUAAUGCUUUGUUCCUGUUCUCUAUUAAAAGGAGGCCUUAAUAUCCCUUAGUUUCCGUAAGGACCCCACUGUCACGGGAGGGUAGGACAAAAGAUGUCAUGCAAGUUAUUUUCCAUAAGCACGUAUGACUAUGUUCGGAAUAUAUGCCUACAUCAUAUCAAUGAACUGGAGCUAGUUCUGUGUCACCCUAGGUUAUGACUGUUACAUGAUGAACCACAUCCGACAUAAUUCUCCAUCACCGAUCCAUUGCCUACGAGCUUUCCAUAUAUUGUGCUUCGCUUAUUUACUUUUCCAUUGCUAUUGCUAUCAUCACUACAAAAUAUCAAAAAAAUUGCUUUUACUAUCGUUACCUUUUGUUACCGUUAGCACUACUAUCAUAUUACUUUGCUAGUAAAUACUUUGCUGCAGAUAUUAAGUUUCCAGGUGUGGUUGAAUUGACAACUCAGCUGCUAAUACUUGAGAAUAUUCUUUGGCUCCCCUUGUGUCGAAUCAAUAAAUUUGGGUUGAAUACUCUACCCUUGAAAACUGUUGCGAUCCCCUAUACUUGUGGGUUAUCAAGACCAUUUUCUGGCGCCGUUGCCGGGGAGCAUAGCUCUAUUCUUUGAGUCACUUGGGAUAUAUAUCUGCUUAUCAUUAUGAAGAACUUGAGAGAUCCAAAAACCAAGAUCUAUCCCUCAACUACGAGGGGAGGUAAGGAACUGCCAUCUAGCUCUGCACUUGAUUCACCUUCUGUUUUGAGUAAGCUUGCGACACCUACACCUACUUCUGCUAUUCGUUCUGAUAUGUCGCAUGUUAUUGAUGAUGCCACUUCUGCUAUGCAUGAUACUUAUGAUGAAACUACCUCUAUGCCUGAUACUACUAUGCCACUUAGUGAUUUUCUUGAUAAACAACUUGCUAGGGCUAGAGAAAUUGAAAACAUUCAAUCUGAUGAUACUAAUGAAAGUGAUGAUGAAGAACCACUUGCUAUUCCUAAGGUUUAUGUAUUUGAUCAAGAUGCUUCUUUAGCCAUUUUAGCUUGCAGAAAUAGAACUGAACUUAAAAGAUUAUUAGCUAAAUGGAGUAAGCAAUCCCUAAAUGAUAGAAUGAAAGCUGACCCUGCUUUUGCUACUUCACCUACCUUUGUUACUGAUAAGGAUUAUGAAUUCUCUGUUGAUCUUGAUAUAAUUACUUUGGUUGAGUCUGAUCCUUUUCAUGGUUAUGAAUCUGAAACUGUUGUGGCACAUCUUACUAAACUGAAUGAUAUAGCUACCCUGUUCACUAAAGAUGAGAAAACUCGCUACUUUUACAUUCUUAAAAUAUUUCCGUUCUCAUUAAAGGGUGAUGCUAAGAUAUGGUUUAAUUCUCUUGAUCCUGGUUGUGUACGUAGUCCCCAGGAUAUGAUUUAUUACUUCUCUGCUAAAUAUUUCCCUGCUCAUAAGAAACAAGCUGCUUUAAGGGAUAUAUAUAUAUAUAUAUAUAAUUUUGUGCAAAUUGAAGAAGAGAGUCUCCCACAAGCUUGAGGGAGGCUUCUCCAAUUACUUAAUGCUUUGCCUGAUCAUCCUCUUAAGAAAAAUGAAAUACUUGAUAUCUUUUAUAAUGGACUAACCGAUGCCUCCAGAGAUUACCUGGAUAGUUGUGCUGGUUCUGUUUUGAGGGAAAGAACACCGGAUGAAGCUGAAACUCUAUUGAAUAAUAUGUUGAUAAAUGAAAAUAAUUGGACACCUCCGGAGCCAAUUCCCGAGCCUAUUCCUAAACCAACUCCGAAGAAGAGAGGUAUUUUAUUUCUCAGUCCUGAAGAUAUGCAAGAGGCAAAGAAAUCUAUGAAAGAAAAGGGUAUUAAAGCUGAAGAUGUUAAGAAUUUACCUCCUAUUGAAGAAAUACAUGGUCUUAAUUUACUGCCUAUUGAAGAAACAUAUAGUAUUAAUCCUUUACCUAUUGAAGAAACUCAUGGUCUUGAUAACCCGACACAGGUAGUAAAGGUAAAUUCUCUCUAUAAAUAUGAUAAAGUUGUAAUCCCAUUCACUAAAAUUGCUAGCCAAUGCUUAGAUGAGUUUGAUAAAUUUAUGGCUAAGCAAGAAAAUUUUAAUGCUUAUUUUGGUAGACAAUUAAAAUACAAUCAAAUAUGCUUGGACACUUGGGUGAUUAUAUGGCUAAUGUCAAAGGUGAACUUAAACUUAUUAGUAAACAUGCUUCUAUGGUUACCACUCAAGUAGAACAAGUACUUAAAGCUCAAAAUGAUUUGCUCAAUGAAUUGAAUAAUAAGAAUAAUGAUAAUGCUGUUAGAGUUAUGACUAGAGGUGGUAGAAUGACUCAGGAACCUUUGUAUCCUGAAGGCCACCCUAAGAGAAUUGAGCAAGAUUCUUAGAGAAAUAAUAUAGACGCACCUAGCUCUUCUAAAAAGAAGAAAAAGAAAAAUGAUAGGACUUUGCAUGCUUCUAGUGAUCCUAUUGUUGAAACACCUGAGAAUCCAAAUGAUAUUUCUAUUUCUGAUGCUGAAACACAAUCUGGUAAUGAACCUGAAACUCGUAAUAAUGUUACUGAUAAUGUUCAUGAUGCUCAACCUAGUAAUGAUAAUGAUAUAGAAAUUGAACCUACUGUUGAUCUUGAUAACCCACAAUCAAAGAAUCAACGUUAUGAUAAGAAAGAUUUUGUUGCUAGGAAACAUGGUAAAGAAAGAGAACCAUGGGUUCAGAAACCCAUGCCUUUUCCUCCCAAACCAUCCAAGAAAAAGGAUGAUGAGGAUUUUGAGCACUUUGCUGAAAUGAUUAGACCUAUCUUUUUGAAGGAAAUAUGCCCUAGAGGCAAUAAUAAAGUUAUUAUUUAUUUCCUUAUUUCAUGAUAAAUGUUUAUUAUUCAUGCUAGAAUUUUAUUGACCGGAAACAUAAUACAUGUGUGAAUACAUAGACAAACAAAGUGUCACUAGUAUGCCUCUACUUGACUAGCUCGUUAAUCAAAGAUGGUUAUGUUUCCUAACCAUGAACAAUGAGUUGUUAUUUGAUUAACGAGGUCACAUCAUUAGUUGAAUGAUCUGAUUGACAUGACCCAUUCCAUUAGCUUAGCACACGAUCGUUUAGUAUGUUGCUAUUGCUUUCUUCAUGACUUAUACAUGUUCCUAUGACUAUGAGAUUAUGCAACUCCCGUUUGCCGGAGGAACACUUUGGGUACUACCAAACGUCACAACGUAACUGGGUGAUUAUAAAGGAGUACUACAGGUGUCUCCAAUGGUCGAUGUUGAGUUGGCGUAUUUCGAGAUUAGGAUUUGUCACUCCGAUUGUCGGAGAGGUAUCUCUGGGCCCUCUCGGUAAUACACAUCACAUAAGCCUUGCAAGCAUUACAACUAAUAUGUUAGUUGUGAGAUGAUGUAUUACGGAACGAGUAAAGAGACUUGCCGGUAACGAGAUUGAACUAGGUAUUGGAUACCGACGAUCGAAUCUCGGGAAAGUAACAUACCGAUGACAAAGGGAACAACGUAUGUUGUUAUGCGGUCUGACCGAUAAAGAUCUUCGUAGAAUAUGUAGGAGCCAAUAUGGGCAUCCAGGUCCCGCUAUUGGUUAUUGACCAGAGACAUGUCUCGGUCAUGUCUACAUUGUUCUCGAACCCGUAGGGUCCGCACGCUUAAGGUUACGAUGACAGUUAUAUUAUGAGUUUAUGCAUUUUGAUGAACCGAAGGUUGUUCGGAGUCCCGGAUGUGAUCACGGACAUGACGAGGAGUCUCGAAAUGGUCGAGACAUAAAGAUUGAUAUAUUGGAAGCCUAUGUUUGGACAUCGGAAGUGUUCCGGGUGAAAUCGGGAUUUUACCGGGUUACCGGGAGGUUACCGGAACCCCCCGGGAGCCAUAUGGGCCUUCAUGGGCCUUAGUGGAAAGGAGAAAGGGGCAGCCCAAGGGGGCUGCGCGCCUCCCCCCUUCCCCUAGUCCUAUUAGGACUAGGAGAGGUGGCCGGCCACCCCUCUCCCUCUUUCCCCCUUGGGAAUCCUAGUUGGAAUAGGAUUGGGGGGGGGAGUCCUACUCCCGGUAGGAGUAGGACUCCUCCUGCGCCUCUCUCUCUUGGCCGGCGCCCCCUCCCCCCUUGGCUCCUUUAUAUACUGAGGUAGAGGCACCCCAAAGACACACAAGUUGACACAAGCUGAUCCACGUGAUCUAUUCCUUAGCCGUGUGCGGUGCCCCCUGCCACCAUAUUCCUCGAUAAUACUGUAGCGGAGUUUAGGCGAAGCCCUGCUGCUGUAGUUCAUCAAGAUCGUCACCACGCCGUCGUGCUGACGAAACUCUUCCCCGACACUUUGCUGGAUCGGAGUCCGGGGAUCGUCAUCGAGCUGAACGUGUGCUCGAACUCGGAGGUGCCGUAGUUUCGGUGCUUGAUCGGUUGGAUCGAGAAGACGUACGACUACUUCCUCUACGUCGUGUCAUCGCUUCCGCAGUCGGUCUGCGUUGGGUAUGUAGACAAUACUCUCCCCUCGUUGCUAUGCAUCACAUGAUCUUGCGUGUGCGUAGGAAAUUUUUUGAAAUUACUACGAAACCCAAAAGUGGCACCCGAGCCUAGGUUAUUGAUGUUGAUGUUAUAUGCACGAGUAGAACACAAGUGAGUUGUGGACGAUAUAAGUCAUACUGCCUACCAGCAUGUCAUACUUUGGUUCGGCGGUAUUGUUGGACGAGACGACCCAGACCAACCUUACGCGUACGCUUACGCGAGACCGGUUCCCUCGACGUGCUUUGCACAAAGAUGGCUUGCGGGCGACUGUCUCUCCAACUUUAGUUGAACCAAGUAUGGCUACGCCCGGUCCUUGCGAAGGUUAAAACGGAGUCUAUUUGACAAACUAUCGUUGUGGUUUUGAUGCGUAGGUGAGAUUGGUUCUUACUUAAGCCCGUAGCAGCCACGUAAAACAUGCAACAACAAAGUAGAGGACGUCUAACUUGUUUUUGCAGGGCAUGUUGUGAUGUGAUAUGGUCAAGGCAUGAUGCUGAAUUUUAUUGUAUGAGAUGAUCAUGUUUUGUAACCAAGUUAUCGGCAACUGGCAGGAGCCAUAUGGUUGUCGCUUUAUUGUAUGCAAUGCAAUCGCGAUGUAAUGCUUUACUUUAUUACUAAACGGUAGUGAUAGUCAUGAAAGCAUAAGAUUGGCGAGACGACAACGAUGCUACGAUGGAGAUCAAGGUGUCGCGCCGGUGACGAUGGUGAUCAUGACGGUGCUUCGGAGAUGGAGAUCACAAGCACAAGAUGAUGAUGGCCAUAUCAUAUCACUUAUAUUGAUUGCAUGUGAUGUUUAUCUUUUUAUGCAUCUUAUCUUGCUUUGAUUGACGGUAGCAUUAUAAGAUGAUCUCUCACUAAAUUAUCAAGAAGUGUUCUCCCUGAGUAUGCACCGUUGCCAAAGUUCGUCGUGCCCAGACACCACGUGAUGAUCGGGUGUGAUAAGCUCUACGUCCAUCUACAACGGGUGCAAGCCAGUUUUUGCACACGCAGAAUACUCAGGUUAAACUUGACGAGCCUAGCAUAUGCAGAUAUGGCCUCGGAACACGGAGACUGAAAGGUCGAGCGUGAAUCAUAUAGUAGAUAUGAUCAACAUAAACGAUGUUCACCAUUGAAAACUACUCCAUCUCACGUGAUGAUCGGUCAUGGUUUAGUUGAUUUGGAUCACGUAAUCACUUAGAAGAUUAGAGGGAUGUCUAUCUAAGUGGGAGUUCUUUAAGUAAUAUGAUUAAUUGAACUUUAAUUUAUCAUGAACUUAGUCCUGAUAGUAUUUUGCAAAUUAUGUUGUAGAUCAAUAGCUCGCGUUGUUGCUUCCCUGUGUUUAUUUUGAUAUGUUCCUAGAGAAAAAUUGUGUUGAAAAAUGUUAGUAGCAAUGAUGCGGAUUGGAUCCGUGAUCUGAGGUUUAUCCUCAUUGCUGCACAGAAGAAUUAUGUCCUUGAUGCACCGCUAGGUGACAGACCUAUUGCAGGAGCAGAUGCAAAGGUUAUGAACGUUUGGCUGGCUCAAUAUGAUGACUACUUGAUAGUUUAGUGCACCAUGCUUAAACGGCUUAGAAUCGGGACUUCAAAGACGUUUUGAACGUCAUGGACCAUAUGAGAUGUUCCUGGAGUUGAAGUUAAUAUUUCAAGCAAAUACCCGAGUUGAGAGAUAUGAAGUCUCCAACAAGUUCUAUAGCUAAAAGAUGGAGGAGAAUCGCUCAACUAGUGAGCAUGUACUUAGAUUGUCUGGGUACUUCAAUCGCUUGAAUCAAGUGGGAGAUAAUCUUCCAGAUAAGAUAGUGAUUGACAGAAUUCUCGAGUCACCACCACCAAGUUAGUAGAACUUCGUGAUGAACUAUAAUGCAAGGGAUGACGUAAACAAUUCCCGAGUUCUUCGUGAUGCUAAAAUCGACGAAAGGUAGAAAUCAAGAAAAACAUCAAGUGUUGAUGGUAGACAAAGACCACUAGUUUCAAGAAAAGGGCAAAGGGAAGAAGGGGAACUUCAAGAAGAACGGCAAGCGAGUUGCUGCUCAAGUGAAGAAGCCCAAGUCUGGUCCUAAGCCUGAGACUAAGUGCUUCUACUACAAAGGGAUUGGUCACUGGAAGCGGAACUACCCCAAGUGAUUGGCGGAUAAGAAGGAUGGCAAAGUGAACAUAAGUAUAUUUGAUAUACAUGUUAUUGAUGUGUACUUUACUAGUGUUUAUAGCAAACCCCUUAGUAUUAGGUACUAGUUCAGUUGCUAAGCUUAGUAACUCGAAACGGGAGUUGCAGAAUAAACAAAGACUAAUUGAAGGGGAAGUGACGAUGAGUGUUGGAAGUAGUUCCAAGAUUAAUAUGAUCAUCAUCGCACACUCCCUAUACUUUCGGGAUUAGUGUUGAAACUAAAUAAGUGUUAUUUGGUGUUGGCGUUGAGCAUGAAUAUGAUUUGAUCAUGUUUAUUGCAAUACGGUUAUUCAUUUAAGUAAGAGAAUAAACUGUUGUUCUGUUUACAUGAAUAAAACCUUAUAUGGUUACACACCCAAUGAAAAAUGGUUCAUUGGAUCUCGAUCGUAGUGAUACACAUAUUCAUAAUAUUGAAACCAAAAGAUGCAAAGUUAAUAAUGAUAGUGCAACUUAUUUGUGGCACUGCCGUUUGGGUCAUAUCGGUGUAAAGCGCAUGAAGAUACUCCAUAAAGAUGGAUUUUCGGAAUCACUUGGUUAUGAAUCAUUUGAUGCUUGCGAACCGUGCCUUUUGGGCAAGAUGACUAAAACUCCGUUCUCCAGAACAAUGGAACGUGCUACUGACUUAUUGGAAAUAAUACAUACCGAUGUAUGCAAUCCAAUGAGUGUUGAUGCUCGUGGCAAGUAUCAUUAUUUUCUGAUCUUCACAGAUGAUUUGAGCAGAUAUGAGUAUAUCUACUUAAUGAAACACAAGUCUGAAACAUUUGAAAAGUUCAAAGAAUUUCAGAGUGAAGUGAAAAAUCAUCGUAUCAAGAAAAUAAAGUUUCUACGAUCUGAUCGUAGAGAAGAGUAUUUGAGUUACGAGUUUGGCCUUCAGUUAAAAAACAAUGUGAAAUAGUUUCACUACUCAUGCCACCUGGAACACCACAAUGGUGUGUCCGAACGUCAUAAUUGUACUUUAUUGGAUAUGGUGCAACCUAUGAUGUUUCUUACCAAUUUACCACUAUCGUUUUGGGGUUAUGCAUUAAAGACAACUGCAUUCACGUUAAAUAGGGCACCAUCAAAAUCCGUUGAGACGACGCCUUAUGAACUGUGGUUUGGCAAAGAAACCAAAGUUGUCGUUUCUUAAAGUUUGGGGCUGCGAUGCUUAUGUGAAAAAGCUUCAACCUGAUAAGCUCGAACCCAAAUCGGAGAAAUAUGACUUCAUAUGAUACCCAAAGGAAACUGUUGGGUACACCUUCUAUCACAGAUCCGAAGGCAAGACAUUGGUUGAUAAGAAUGGAUCAUUUCUAGAGAAGGAGUUUCUCUCGAAAGAAGUGAGUGGGAGGAAAGUAGAACUUGACGAGGUAACUGUACCUGCUCCCUUAAUGGAAAGUAGUUCAUCACAGAAAACUGUUUCUGUGACACCUACACCAGUUAGUGAGGAAGCCAAUGAUGAUGAUCAUGAAACUUCAGAACAAGAUACUACUGAACCUCGUAGAUCAACCAAAGUAAGAUCCGCGCCAGAGUGGUACGAUAAUCCUUUUCUGGAAGUCAUGCUACUAGAUCAUGAUGAACCUACGAACUAUGAAGAAGCGAUGGUGAGCCCAGAUUCCGCAAAGUGGCUUGAAGCCAUGAAAUCUGAGAUGGGAUCCAUGUAUGAGAACAAAGUAUGGACUUUGGUUGACUUGCCCGAUGAUCGGCAAGCAAUUGAGAAUAAAUGGAUCUUUAAGAAGAAGACUGACGCUGAUGGUAAUGUUACUGUCUACAAAGCUCGACUUGUCGCAAAAAAAAAGGUUUUCGGCAAGUUCAAGGUGUUGACUACGAUGAGAGUUUCUCACUCGUAUCUAUGCUUAAGUCUGUCGGAAUCAUGUUAGCAAUUGCCGCAUUUUAUGAAAUCCGGCAAAUGGAUAAACAAAACUGCAUUCCUUAAUGGAUUUAUUAAAGAAGAGUUGUAUAUGAUACAACCAGAAGGUUUUGUCAAUCCUAAAGGUGCUAACAAAAUAUGCAAGCUCCAGCGAUCUAUCUGUGGACUGGUGCAAGCAUCUCGGAGUUGGAAUAUACGCUUUGAUGAGUUGAUCAAAGCAUAUGGUUUUAUACACACUUGCGGUGAAGCCUGUAUUUACAAGAAAGUGAGUGGGAGCACUACAACAUUUCUGAUAAGUAUAUGUGAAUGACAUAUUGUUGAUCGGAAAUAAUGUAGAAUUAUUCUGCAAAGCAUAAAGGAGUGUUUGAAAGGAGUUUUUCAAAGAAAGACCUCGGUGAAGCUGCUUACAUAUUAAGUAUCAAGAUCUAUAGAGAUAGAUCAAGACACUUGAUGAGUUUUCAAUGAGUACAUACCUUGACAAGAUUUUGAAGUAGUUCAAAAUGGAACAGUCAAAGAAAAAGGUUUCUUGCCUGUGUUACAAGGUGUGAAGUUGAGUAAAACUCAAAGCCUGACCAAGACAGAAGAUAGAAAGAGAAUGAAAGUCAUUCCCUAUGCCUCAGUCUUAGGUUCUAUAAAAUAUGCCAUGCUGUAUACCAGAUCUAUUGUAUGCCCUACCACUGAGUUUGGCAAGGGAGUACAAUAGUGAUCUAGGAGUAGAUCACUGGACAGCGGUCAAAAUUAUCCUUAGUGGAAUAAGGAUAUGUUUCUCGAUUAUGGACGUGACAAAAAGGUUCGUCGUAAAGGAUUACGUUGAUGCAAGUUUUUUGACACUGAUCCAGAUGAUUCUAAGUCUCAAUCUGGAUACAUAUUGAAAGUGGGAGCAAUUAGCUAGAAUAGCUCCGUGCAGAGCAUUGUUGACAUAGAAAUUCGCAAAAUACUUACAGAUCUGUAUGUGACAGACCUGUUGACUAAAAUUAUCUCACAAGCAAAACAUGAUCACACCUUAGUACUCUUUGGGUGUUAAUCACAUAGCGAUGUGAACUAGAUUACUAACUCUAGUAAACCCUUUGGGUGUUGAUCACAUAUCGAUGUGAACUAUGGGUAUUAAUCACAUGGUGAUGUGAACUAUUGCUAUUAAAUCACAUGGCGAUGUGAACUAGAUUAUUGACUCUAGUGCAAGUGGGAGACUGAAGGAAAUAUGCCCUAGAGGCAAUAAUAAAGUUAUUAUUUAUUUCCUUAUUUCAUGAUAAAUGUUUAUUAUUCAUGCUAGAAUUGUAUUGACCGGAAACAUAAUACAUGUGUGAAUACAUAGACAAACAAAGUGUCACUAGUAUGCCUCUACUUGACUAGCUCGUUAAUCAAAGAUGGUUAUGUUUCCUAACCAUGAACAAUGAGUUGUUAUUUGAUUAACGAGGUCACAUCAUUAGUUGAAUGAUCUGAUUGACAUGACCCAUUCCAUUAGCUUAGCACACGAUCGUUUAGUAUGUUGCUAUUGCUUUCUUCAUGACUUAUACAUGUUCCUAUGACUAUGAGAUUAUGCAACUCCCGUUUGCCGGAGGAACACUUUGGGUACUACCAAACGUCACAACAUAACUGGGUGAUUAUAAAGGAGUACUACAGGUGUCUCCAAUGGUCGAUGUUGAGUUGGCGUAUUUCGAGAUUAGGAUUUGUCACUCCGAUUGUCGGAGAGGUAUCUCUGGGCCCUCUCGGUAAUACACAUCACAUAAGCCUUGCAAGCAUUACAACUAAUAUGUUAGUUGUGAGAUGAUGUAUUACGGAACGAGUAAAGAGACUUGCCGGUAACGAGAUUGAACUAGGUAUUGGAUACCGACGAUCGAAUCUCGGGCAAGUAACAUACCGAUGACAAAGGGAACAACGUAUGUUGUUAUGCGUUCUGACCGAUAAAGAUCUUCGUAGAAUAUGUAGGAGCCAAUAUGGGCAUCCAGGUCCCGCUAUUGGUUAUUGACCGGAGACGUGUCUCGGUCAUGUCUACAUUGUUCUCGAACCCGUAGGGUCCGCACGCUUAAGGUUACGAUGACAGUUAUAUUAUGAGUUUAUGCAUUUUGAUGUACCGAAGGUUGUUCGGAGUCCUGGAUGUGAUCACGGACAUGACGAGGAGUCUCGAAAUGGUCGAGACAUAAAGAUUGAUAUAUUGGAAGCCUAUGUUUGGACAUCGGAAGUGUUCCGGGUGAAAUCGGGAUUUUACCGGGUUACCGGGAGGUUACCGAAACCCCCCGGGAGCCAUAUGGGCCUUCAUGGGCCUUAGUGGAAAGGAGAAAGGGGCAGCCCAAGGGGGCUGCGCGCCUCCCCCCUUCCCCUAGUCCUAUUAGGAGAGGUGGCCGGCCACCCCUCUCCCUCUUUCCCCCUUGGGAAUCCUAGUUGGAAUAGGAUUGGGGGGGGAGUCCUACUCCCGGUAGGAGUAGGACUCCUCCUGCGCCUCUCUCUCUUGGCAGGCGCCCCCUCCCCCCUUGGCUCCUUUAUAUACUGAGGUAGAGGCACCCCAAAGACACACAAGUUGACACAAGUUGAUCCACGUGAUCUAUUCCUUAGCCGUGUGCGGUGCCCCCUGCCACCAUAUUCCUCGAUAAUACUGUAGCGGAGUUUAGGCGAAGCCCUGCUGCUGUAGUUCAUCAAGAUCGUCACCACGCCGUCGUGCUGACGAAACUCUUCCCCGACACUUUGCUGGAUCGGAGUCCGGGGAUCGUCAUCGAGCUGAACGUGUGCUCGAACUCGGAGGUGCCGUAGUUUCGGUGCUUGAUCGGUUGGAUCGAGAAGACGUACGACUACUUCCUCUACGUCGUGUCAUCGCUUCCGCAGUCGGUCUACGUUGGGUACGUAGACAAUACUCUCCCCUCGUUGCUAUGCAUCACAUGAUCUUGCGUGUGCGUAGGAAAUUUUUUGAAAUUACUACGAAACCCAACACUUUUUGCGUAUGCGAUUAACUGAUAUGCUCAAAAUGAAUCCUUAUGCUAAGUAUAUGAAAGAAAUUUUUACAAAUAAAAGAAAGAUACCGGAAGCUGAAAUUUCCACCAUGCUUGCUAAUUAUACUUUUAAGGGUGUAAUACCAAAGAAACUUGGAGAUCCCGGUGUACCCACUAUACCAUGCUCCAUUAAAACAAACUAUGUUAAAACUGCUUUAUGUGAUCUUGGAGCCGGUGUUAGUGUUAUGCCUCUCUCUUUAUAUCGUAGACUUGAUUUGAAUAAGUUGACACCUACUGAAAUAUCUUUGCAAAUGGCUGAUAAAUCAACUGCUAUACCUAUCGGUAUUUGUGAGGAUGUGCCCGUUGUAGUUGCAAACGUUACUAUUUUAACGAACUUUGUUAUUCUUGAUAUUCCCGAGGACGAUAGUAUGUCUAUUAUUCUUGGAAGACCCUUUUUGAAUACUGCAUGGGCUGUUAUUGAUUGCACUAAAGGCAAUGUCACUUUUCAUGUUAAUGGUAAUGAGCACACGGUACACUUUCCGAGGAAACAACCUCAAGUUCAUAGUAUGAACUCUAUUGGAAAAAAUUCCAUCGAUUAUAUUUGGAGGUUUUGAAUUUCCUCUUCCUACUGUCAAGAAGAAAUAUGAUAUUCUUAUUAUUGGGGAUGUGCAUAUCCCCGUUGAGGUAACAUAGUGCUAUUCGAAAUUUCUCCGGUUCCAUGUUAUUCGGAAUGAGUUCGUUAACAAGACUUGAUCAACCUUGUUAGUGGAUUCCUUUUGAUGAUCAUGAGAUGGAUGAAACUAGAAGGCACAACCUUCUAUACCCCAUUUUUACUUUCUUUUAUUCAUAUUAAAUAAAAAUAAAAAUAAAUAAUUUUUUGUCUGUUAUCUGAUUAUCCGUGCAAUAUAAAAAUACCUCAAAAAUAAAAGUUCUCCAAAUGCCCUGAAAAUUAAAUAUGAUUUUUUCUAGAAUAUUUGAGGAUUUAUGGAACAAAGAACACACCAGGGGGACAACCACCUUGCCACGAGGGUGGAGGACGUGCCCCCUGCCUCGUGGGCCCACGAUGGCCUUCCUCCACUUAUUCCUACACCCACACACUUCAUAUUCCUCCCACAAACACGAAUAACCAGCUCAAGCAUGAGUUCUAGCUCAUCUUGCUGCCAUUUUCGAUCUCCUUACUCAAAGCACCUCUCACAAAACUGCUUGGGGAGAUUGUUCCUUGGUAUGUGACUCCUCCAUUGGUCCAAUUGGUUUUCGUUCUAGUGCUUUAUUCAUUGCAAAUUUUUGCUGCUUAGGUGACCCUGUUCUUGAGCUUGCAUGUCAAAUUUAUAUGGUCAAAAGUAGUUUUGAUGCAUGAUAUAGGCCCUAGGCACUUGUAGGAGUAGUUGCUAUCAAUAUUAUUGAGUUUGGUUUACUUUUACUUUGAAGUUACUAAAAAUUUCAGAAUUUUUUAGAAAAUGAUGAGGAGAAUUUUGAGGGGCUCAUCGAGCCAAAGCUCGAAGGAGAAGGCACCGAAGCCUAAGUAUAAUUUGCCUCGCACCGCGGAGAUUUGGGCGUGUGAAUUGCCUUCCGAGGAUUUCUUGAGAGCGGUCGGGAUUUAUGAAGAUUUUCAUGAAUUGGCUCAGACUGCAGGCCUUACCGCUUUCCUCCACGACCAAUGCGAUCAGUAUCUCUUGCUCACAAAUACCUUUGUGCAAAACUUUCAUUUCCAUUCUAGGAGCUCACCACCUACGGUGGAGUUUUAUUUAUAUGAUGAGCAUAAGGAGAUGUCACUUUAUGAUUUUUGUCGAAUCUGUUUAGUCCCUUUUGGGGGCAAGACAGAAGAACCACAUCGUGAUGAUGUGGAGGGAUUUAUUGACACUAUCACUGUAGGGGAAACAAGGAAGGUUUCCGAUGCACGAAUCACUAGCAUACAUUUUCCUGUUUUAUGCUACUUUGCAUUAUUUGCUAGUCGUUGCUUAAUUGGUCGCGGAAACUGUGGAAACCUGAGUAUCCCUGAUAUUAUUAUUUUGCACCACGAUUUAUACGGUGAUAACUCUUUUAGUAUGGGCGGCAUUAUUGCCAAACGGUUAAGUCUGAACCGUACCAAGGGCCCCAUCUUUGGAGGCAUCUAUGCUACACGCCUAGCUGCACAUUUUAACAUACCUAUUAGGCAUGCUGAGAAGGAAGAAAAAGUGCUGCCUCAUGUUUAUCUAUAUUAUAAAAGUAUGGUAGCGCAUGAUUUUAUUGUUAAGAAUAGGAAAGGAGAGCUUAAAUAUCAAUUGUUCUUUAAUAAACAUCAUCCUGAGACUAUUACCUUGCCUGCUCCUUCUUUGUUUGAUUUGACUGUAGGCACGCACCUUGUUCCGUUGACAGCUAUCCACGCCUACCGGAACCCUGCACCAGCCGAGGAGCCAGAGCCAGAACCACAAUUUGAUCCUUCACGGCAGUCUAAUUAUUAGUGGGAUCCAGAGAUGAUUGUCAGCCAGUGGCAAUCUGAGCCUUCUUCUUCCUCAUCAUAGUACGACCCCAACAACUAUUAUUAUGGAUAUCCGCUAGGCCAGUGGUGGCCAUAGACCAACUUAGGCCAAAAGCCUAAGCUUGGGGGAGCACGUUUUUCUCACCGACAUUACAUUUAUGCUCACACACUCAUUGCUAGAUGUCGGUGCUCAUACUUUUUAAUUGUAUCAUCCAUGCUAGUUUAUUUUCCUUUUUAUGCUUUCUUAUUGUGUGUUUAAUAAACCUUAAGAAAAACCAAAAAAAUUUAGUUGUAGCUUCUAAUCAGUUUAAUUCCCAUGCUUGUAGUAUUAAUUAAAAAGAAAACCCAAAAAUAUUUCAUGUUCUUCUUUUGCUUGUUGGGAGCUUUCCCGUGUAAAUAGUUUUAUUUCUUUUCUUUUCUUUGGGGGUCGAUAGAAGAAGGCCAUAAUUAAAUGGUUGAGGUGGCUCUUAUAUGCAUUAUUGUUGAUCUGAUAAAAGAGCCCAUAUUGCCUUGUCUUCUCCUGUUUAUUGAAUGCUUGCAGAUUCCAGCUUAGUCCAAUGCACGUGCACUAUUAUUAUUAUUCACAUCGUUCGGUCGUGCAAGUGAAGGGAAAUUAUGAUGAUAUAUGAUGGACUGGCUGAGAUGAGAAAAGCUGGUAUGAACUCGGCCUCUUUUGUUUUUGUAAAUAUGAUUAGUUCAUCGUUCCUGAUUCAGCCUAUUAUGAAUAAACAUGUUUGCAGUGACAACUAGAGAUCAUAGUUUCUUGUGCCAUGCUUGAUUAGCUAUGAGUUAUAAUGGUUUACCUUGCGUGCCAACAUGCUAUUGAGAUGGUUAUGAUGUGGUAUGAUAGGGUGGUAUCCUGCUCUGAAUGAUUUAAGUGACUUGACUUGGCACAUGUUCACGCAUGUAGUUGAAACAAAAUCAACAUAGCCUUCACGAUAUUUAUGUUCAUGGUGGAUUAUAUCCUACUCAUGCUUGCAUUCGAUGUUGAUUAAUUUUAAUGCAUGUUCAUGACUGUUGUCGCUCUCUAGCUGGUCGCUUCCCAGUCUUUUGCUAGCCUUCACCUGUACUAAGCGGGAAUACUGCUUGUGCAUCCAAACUCCUUAAACCCCAAAGUUAUUCCACAUGAGUCCACUAUACCUACCUAUAUACGGUAUCUACCUGCCGUUCCAAGCAAAUUUGUAUGUGCCAAACUCUAAACCCUCAAAUAAAUAUCCUGUUUUGAAUGCUUGAAUAGCUCAUAUAUCAACUAGGGUUGUCUGUACCUUCCAUGUUAGGCGGGUUAUUCUCAAGAGGAGUGGACUCCGCUCCUCACACACAAGAUAAAUGGCUGGUCACUGAGAUGCCCAGUCCCAUGCUUUAUGCAAACUAAUUCAAAAUAAUUGCAAACAAAACUCCCCCUGGGACUCUUGUUAGUUGGAGGCACUCGUUGUUUCGAGCAAGCCAUGGAUUGAUGCUUGUGGUGGAAGAGGGAGCAUAAACUUUACCAUUUUGUUUGGGAACCGCCUAUAAUGUGUGUAGCAUGGAAGAUAUCACCAUCUCUUGGUUGUUAUGUUGACAAUGAAAGUAUACCGCUCAAAAUAUUAUUCACCUCUCUUUCAAAACCGAGCUCUGGCACCUCUAUAAAUCCCUGCUUCCCUCUGUGAAGGGCCUAUCUAUUUACUUUUAUGCUGAGUAAUCAUCCUCUUAUUAAAAAGCACCAGUUGGAGAGCACUGCUGUCAUUUGCAUUCAUUAUUGUUAGUUUACAUUGAGUAUGACUUGACUGGAUUUCUUUUACCAUGAAUUACAAUGUCUAGUCAGUCCUUGGUCUUUAAAGGUGCUUUGCAUUUAUGUUUUGCGGUCUUAGAAAGGGCUAGCAAGAUACCACCUUGUUAUAUCAUAUUAUGAUUGUUUUGAGAAAGUGUUGUCAUCCGAGUUUUAUUAUUAUGGCUCACUAGUUGAUUAUGCUAUUGAUAUGAGUAACUUGAGGCCUAUGCAUUAUUGCGAAUGUGGUUAGUUAUAAUCUUUGCUAAAAACUUGAAUGCUGGCUUUACAUAUUUACAACAACAAGAGCAAACAGAGUUUGUAAAAGUUUUUCUUUAUCACUUUCAGUUUGUCAACUGAAUUGCUUGAGGACAAGCAAAGGUUUAAGCUUGGGGGAGUUGAUACGUCUCCAACGUAUCUACUUUUCCAAACACUUUUGCCCUUGUUUUCGACUCUAACUUGCAUGAUUUGAAUGGAACUAACCCGGACUAACGCUAUUUUCAGCAAAAUUACCAUGAUGUUAUUUAUGUGCAGGAUCAAACGUUCUCGGAAUGACCUGAAACUUCACGGAGACACUUUUCAGAAAAUAAGAAAAAUACCUGCCAAAGAUGAAGGCCAGGGGGCCCACCCCCUUGCCACGAGGAUGGGGGCACGCCUGCCCCCCUAGGGCGCGCCCCUACCUCGUGGGCCCCAUAUUGCCUCUCCGGAUCCAACUCCACCUCCAUAUAUUGAGUUUCGAUGAGAAAAAAUCAGAGAGAAGAAAUCAUCGCGCUUUACGAUAUGGAGCCGCCGCCAGGCCCUAAAACCUCUCGGGAGGGCUGAUCUGGAGUCCGUUCGGGGCUUCGGAGAGGGGAAUCUGUCGCCAUCAUCAUCAUCAACCAUCCUCCAUCACCAAUUUCAUGAUGCUCACCACCGUGCGUGAGUAAUUCCAUCGUAGGCUUGCUAGACGGUGAUGGGUUGGAUGGGAUCUAUCAUGUAAUCGAGUUAGUUUUGUUAGGGUUUGAUCCCUAGUGUCCACUAUGUUCUGAGACUGAUGUUGCUAUGACUUUGCUAUGCUUAAUGCUUGUCACUAGGGCCCGAGUGCCAUGAUUUCAGAUCUGAACCUAUUAUGUUUUCAUCAAUAUGUGUGUGUUCUUGAUCCUAUCUUGCAAGUCUAUAGUCAUGUAUUAUGUGUUAUGAUCCGUUAACCCCGAAGUGACAAUAAUCAGGAUACUUACCGGUGAUGACCUUAGUUUGAGGAGUUCAUGUAUUCACUAUGUGUUAAUGCUUUGUUCCGGUUCUCUAUUAAAAGGAGGCCUUAAUAUCACUUAGUUUCCGUAAGGACCCCGCUGCCACGGGAGGGUAGGACACAAGAUGUCAUGCAAGUUCUUUUCCAUAAGCACGUAUGACUAUGUUUGGAAUACAUGCCUACAUUAUAUCAAUGAACUGGAGCUAGUUCUGUGUCACCCUAGGUUAUGACUGUUUCAUGAUGAACCGCAUCCGGCAUAAUUCUCCAUCACCGAUCCAUUGCCUACGAGCUUUCCAUAUAUUGUGCUUCGCUUAUUUACUUUUCCGUUGCUAUUGCUAUCAUCACUACAAAAUAUCAAAAACAUUGCUUUUACUACCAUUACCUUUUGUUAUCGUUACCACUACUAUCAUAUUACUUUGCUACUAAAUACUUUGCUGCAGAUAUUAAGUUUCCAGGUGUGGUUGAAUUGACAACUCAGCUGCUAAUACUUGAGAAUAUUCUUUGGCUCCCCUUGUGUCGAAUCAAUAAAUUUGGGUUGAAUACUCUACCCUUGAAAACUAUUGUGAUCCCCUAUACUUGUGGGUUAUCACUCCACCAGUUCUGUCUUUUGAUUAAACUAGUUGGUGCAUCUGGUUCUACGUUGUAUGGGUCAAGAGGUCUUGACCGACUUGUGCAAUUUAAGGUAAAAAUGUGUAGCCACACGUGGGGCGGGAAGUUGAAGUAUGUGUGCAUACAUGUAGAGGCUAACCCUGUUUAGUAGACUCUCUCUCAUAAAAAUGGGAAAGCUCGCUAACUCUUGAUUGGUAUGAAAAUGCCAGUAAAGUAAUGUAUGCCGUAAUUUUAGCAUUCAAAUUCACUGUAUAUUUUUCUACUUUGUGCAUACACGUUGGCUAUAUCAGAUUAUUUGUGUGGUAGACCAUACUUAGGUCUCAACAGUCAAGGGUCAAGACUUAUACUUCUCGGUAAGUCUUUAGGAAAAAUGGUGGACUUUGUAACUAUGUCUAUGUCCCUUGACAUGCUUAUUAUUUUACUUGAAAGCUUUGCCUUUUUUGCACCAUUUUAACUUCAAUGUGGUCAGUGUAGAAUAUAUGUUUUUUCAUUUUUGCUAAACUCAACAAUGCUAAGGAAUUUAUGAUUAAUCUACUCAUAUUUUAGGUUGAUGAUUUUAUGCUUUUUUGCAUCAACAAAAAAGAAAAUUUGAGGAUCAACAUUUUGCUUGAAAGCCUCUUUUGAUUCAUUGAUGUUCAUUCCUUUAUCAACAAUUCCAGUCUUCAAGGAUGAGAUCAAGCUAGAUCAGGGACCUAUUAAAAGUAUGGAGGUUAUUUUCCCUAGUCGCCAACAUCCUAUGUAUUUGUAUUUUUUACAUUUCAUAAUUCCAAUCGAACAUCUGCAAGGCAGCGACUUCGAUUAUGGGAAUCAUGGAAAUGAUUAUGGUGAAAAUUUUCAAUCCUCCAUCCUCUCUGGUCCUGAACUCAGAGUGUUGAAGCCUCACCUUGGAAAGUUGGAACAGAAAAAGGGUGCUAGUGGUGUGAAUUUCAAGCCCAAAUUUGACGUCAAGUUUCAAAUUGAUGUGAUUCUAAAUAUUACUAGUACUUAUGUCAAUACAUGGCAUAAAAAUGACACAUCCAAUAAUUCAAUUAAACCGACACAUUCAAUAAUUCAAUAAAAUAUAAUCGUCAGUAGCCUGUUGGCUUACAUGGUUUAAUUGCAUGUCCUUUUCCAAUGGGACUAAAUACACUAUGAGUUAACCCUGAUGUGACAUUUUUCAAGUCUAGCAGAGAUGGUUGCUUUUGCCAGAAAGUUCAUUUCAACCAAACAACAUAAUGGAAAAUGAAACUGAAGAAUAUUCAGGAGCAAAUGUUAGCUUAGCUUCUUAUCUCCAUGUUUGAAAAUUAUCUAGAAACAUGAAGGCAGGAGGAACUGAAAGACACUCAUUUGCUAAUUAACUUCGCUUUCUGAGUGAUUAGCCUUCAAGCAUACAUCCUCAUGUCUUGUGCCUGAAAAACCUAAUGCUUAGUUUAUUUGUGCCAUGAUAACAUAUUGUUGGACCAUAUAGAUGAUCUUUAUGAUGAUGACAUGAGAUGCUCUCGAAGCAUAAGCACUGAAGUCAAUAGUUGGUUGUCUUAGUUUGAACAUGCCAGUGCCUUCUAAACUGCAGUAUGUAGUUGAAAUCUUUUCAAGCUAUAUCACUUGAAACAAUGCCGAUUUGACGGCGGGGAGGUAGGGUGAUGUAGCUAUGUACCUAGGGUAGGGUCAUGGACCUGUCCAGCAUACCCUCCCCGAGGACAUCUUUAUAAAGAAUCAGAAGCAUUCGAAGAGAAAAUAUCAUCCACUCGACCAUGAAGAUGUGCUCACUUGACUUUCUUGAAGACACUCGACCACCAGAAGACGAGAAGCCCUCCACUCUGCAAUGGUUGCGACUUAAACCAUAGCAUUAUGGGCAUUUAUAACACUUUAUUAUAGACGUUACCAGUAACGCCCCACCUUUAUGAACAUUGAACCAUGUGUAACGGAGGGGAGCUGGGGUCCUGGCGCACUCUAUAUAAGCCACCCCCUCCUCUGGGACAGGGGUUCGCACUUUUAUAAACACAUACACACAUAUAAUCCAGUCGACCGCCUCAGGGCACCGAGACAUAGGGCUGUUACUUCCUCCGAGAAGGGCCUGAACUCAUAAAACUCGUGUGUACAACUACUCCAUAGCUAGGAUCUUGCCUCCUCAUACCUACCCCCAUUCUACUGUCAGUCUUAGAUCCAUGAUAGUUGGCGCCCGCCGUGGGGUAGGUGUCUUAGCGACUUAUUGGAGAAGUUGCAAUUUUUCCGAUCCCCAUCAUCAUGGUUCCAGGCGGAGGUUUGGCUGAGGGCCGCAAGAUCCGUCUCGGCGCGCUCGUGUUUGUCGCCGACGACUCCGCUUGGCUUCAGGAGGCACCACUCGACGUCGGUGCGCUCCCCGCCCGCGGGGCGACACACUUUCAUGCUUGCGUCCGCGGUGUCUUCCUGCGGCAACCGUCGACCCAGUACCAGUCGACUCCUAUGGCUUUCCCCCUCCCUUCGACCCACCGGAACAAGCGCACCGGCUGGUCGAGGGUUCAACGAUGGGUGAAGCAUGCGGUGGCCCGCCAGUCGGCCACCCCUCAAGUCGCAGCGCUCGAGCCCGACGAGUCUCUCUACGGCAUGUUCAAUCUAUCGACUGGCUCCGUAGAGACUGCAUCCGAGUGUGGCAGCAAUGACUCGGCAGUGGAAGUCCUGAUGGUCAAUGGACCACGCGGUCCUCCUGGCUUCGAUCGUGAAGACGGAGGUGACGGGAACGGUGAUCCGUCAUGCGUUCAUGAGGAGUACUGCCCCGAGCCUCUCUCCUCACAGCAAAGAGAAGAACUUCGUCGCCGAAAUAUGGAUGCCCUGCAUACUCCUAUAGUUGGAGAAACGCCCGAGACCCAGGCCUUGGAACAGGCUCGCUUGGCCAAUCUGGCUGAGCGCACUCGGCUGGAGAACCUACAGCGCGCACUCGACGAUUGCGCUCAUCAAUGUGCUCCUGAGUCCGGCCGACGCCAAUUUUUUCCACCUCUGGCUCAGGUAUACCGAACACCGAUCCAAAACGUAGCAUCUAUGGCCCGGAUAGCAGAGUCGAUUCAACCUUCCCAAUCAGAAGCUGGCCGAGGUCUGGCGCAGAUCAGGGCCUUGCUCCGGGCAGCAGGAGAGCAGAAUACGGCCGUGUCUUAGUCGCGGGAUAGGAUACAUAGUAGAUCUGUGGUCGCAGAUACGGUCCAGUCGGCCCAUAGCCCGAGAUCGCCCCCGAGGCGUGAGGGACGUGGAGAGCAGCGUGAUCAGUACAGAAACCAGGAGCAGUAUGAUCGUCGAGCCGAUCGCGAUGGUCGCCGUCGAGUGCCCACGCCUCCUCCAAGGAGUGGGUCGUACGUGCCGCGGCCACAUGAAGACAGGCACCCUAACAGCGUCGGAAGAGGUAUUCCAGUUGACCCCAGGGAGCCAGGCUUUGAUGCGAGAUCUAUUCUCGUACAAGGCUUGGUCGACAGAAACAGAGCUCACCAAGAUGGCCAUGACAGAGGCCCGCAAACCAGCAACAGGGUGCAUGUCUCUGGCCCAGAGUGCUUCAACAGAGCUAUUAGAGCUGCAGUGAUUCCCCCCAACUUCAGGUUGGUGACUGGAGUCAGUAAGUUCACCGGAGAGUCCAAGCCUGACACCUGGCUCGAAGACUACCGAGUGGCUGUCCAGAUUGGUGGCGGCAAUGAUGAGGUGGCCAUGAAACACCUUCCUCUGAUGUUGGAGGGCUCGACUAGGGCGUGGCUGAAUCAGUUGGCGCCUGGCAGCAUCUAUACUUGGGAAGAUCUCGCCCGAGUAUUUGUCAGAAUGUUUGAGGGUACUUCCAAGCAGCCAUCAGGUUUGACAGAAUUACAGUGUUGCGUCCAGGAACCGAAUGAAACUUUGAGAGAUUAUAUCUAGAGGUGGAUCACCCUACACCACACGGUGGAAGAUGUGUCUGAUCAUCAGGCAAUUUGUGCUUUCAAGGAAGGCCUUAGGUACCGAGAGUUGAAUCUGAAAUUCAGUCGGACAGGAAACAUGACUUUGACUUGGAUGAUGGAAAUUGCCACCAAGUAUGCCAAUGGUGAAGAGGAGGAGCGACUGCGGAGCGGCAAGCACAAAGCAGUCGCCCACGAAGCCGGAGGAGGAAACUCCAGUCGAAAACAAAAACGCAAGGCCGAACCAGCUGCUUCGGGUGAGGCCUUGGCUGUGGUUCAAGGAAAGUUCAAGGGGAAGCCCAAAGGGCCGUGGAACCCCAAGAAAGUAAAAGAUCAAGAUGGAAAUGACGUGUUGGAUCUGCUGUGCCAUAUCCACACCAAAAAAGACGAAGAAGGUAAUUUCAUUUACCCGAAGCAUACCACUCGACAGUGUCGGCUCCUGAUCCAGCAGUUCCGAGAGAAACAACCCAAGGAAAAGGAGAAGGAGGCAGGCAAGGCUUAGAGUGAAGGGGAAGAUGAUGAUGGUUAUCCUCACAUGAAUUCCACUCUGAUGAUUUUUGCUGAUGUUGAAAACAAGAGUCAAUUGAAAGUCAUCAACAGAGAAGUGAACAUGGUCGCUCCUGCGACACCCAAUUACUUGAAAUGGUCGCAGACUGCCAUUACGUUCGACCAGUCUGAUCACCCAGCGCACAUCACCACCCCUGGGAGGCAAGCACUGGUGGUCGACCCGGUGGUCGAAGGCACUCGACUGACAAAGGUCCUGAUGGACGGUGGCAGUGGCCUGAACAUUCUGUACGCAGAAACGUUGAAAGGAAUGGGCAUUCCGAUGUCCAGACUCAGUGAAAGCCACAUGAGUUUCCAUGGGGUCAUCCCAGGCAAGAAGGUUGCGUCCCUCGGUCAGAUUACACUCGACGUGGUUUUCGGCGAUGCCAAAAAUUACCGCAAAGAAAAGUUGACGUUUGAAGUCGUGGAUUGUCAGAGUGCGUAUCAUGCGAUUCUGGGCAGGCCAGGUUAUGCACGGUUCAUGGCUCGACCUUGUUACGUGUACCUCAAACUGAAGAUGCCUGGUCCCAGAGGAGUGAUCACUAUCUCUAGUAAUCGGAAAAAGGCGGAAGAGUGUUUUCAGAAGGGCUCAAAGAUCGCCGAUGCCCAGAUAGCCGUGGCAGAAUUGCAAGAAUACCAGAAAAAUGCAGACCCAAGUGACUUGUUGCGAGCCAAUAAGCCAGCUACGGAUUCAGCGUUCCAGUCGUCUGGCGAGACGAAGUCUGUUCACAUUCACCCGACAGACCCCAAUGCAGCUCCGACCCACAUUUCGACCACACUCGACUCCAAAUAGGAAGAAGCGCUCAUCCAGUUCCUCUGUGAGAACUGGGACAUCUUUGCAUGGAAGCCUUCUGACAUGCCAGGUGUUCCCAAGGGACUGGCUGAGCAUCGUUUGCGAGUCGACCCAAAAGUGAAACCAGUCAAAGAGCAUCUUUGACGGUCCGCCGUCCAGAAAAGAAAAGCAAUCGGUGAAGAGGUGGCUCGGCUUUUGGCAGCUGAGUUUAUCGAGAGAUUUACCACUCCAAGUGGUUAGCCAAUGUUGUCAUGGUCCCAAAGAAAGAUGACUCACUCCGCAUGUGCAUCGAUUUCAAGCAUAUCAAUCGGGCCUGCCCGAAAGAUCACUUCCCUCUCCCUCGCAUCGAUCAGAUAGUCGACUCGACUGCUGGGUGCGAGCGUUUGUCCAUUUUGGAUACCUACUCCGGGUACCACCAGAUCCGUCUGUACGGACCCGAUGAAAUAAAGACAGCUUUUAUCACCCCAUUCGGGUGCUUCUAUUAUGACACAAUGCCAUUCGGCUUGAAGAACGCCGGAGCCACAUUUAUGCGAAUGAUUCAGAAGUGCCUGCUCACUCAGAUCAGUUGGAAUGUGAAAGCAUACAUGGAUGACAUUGUGGUCAAGUCACGUAAAGGUUCUGACCUGCUGACCGACCUCGCCGAAACCUUUGCCAACCUCAGAAGGUAUGAUAUCAAGCUCAAUCCAUCAAAGUGCACAUUUGGAGUUCCAAGCGGAAAGUUACUCGGUUUUCUUGUUUCCGAACAAGGAAUCGAUGCUAACCUAGAGAAAUUAGGCGCUAUACUUCGGAUGAAACGCCCUGUGCGUGUGCAUGAUGUUCAGAAGGUUACUGGUUGCUUGGCCGCCCUAAGUCGAUUCAUUUCUCGCCUCGGUGAAAAGGCCCUGCCUCUUUACCGACUGAUGAAGAAAUCAGAUGCGUUCAAGUGGACUCCAGAAGCUUAUACAGCAUUUGCAGAGCUAAAAGCCCUGCUUUCCACCCAGCCGGUGCUUGCUUGCUUCUCCAAUCAGCAAAGAGCCUCUUUUGCUUUAUAUAGCAGCCACUGGACAAGUCGUCAGUAUAGUACUUACGAUCAAGCGGGAAGAAGAAGGAAAAGCGUACAAAGUUCAACGCCCAGUUUAUUAUAUUUCUGAAGUCCUGACCCUGUCAAAGCAGAGAUAUCCUCACUAUCAGAAGCUUGUCUAUGGAAUUUACAUGACCACGAAGAAGAUUGCACACUACUUCUCAGAUCACUCUAUUACAGUCGUCAGCGAUGCUCCAUUGUCAGAGAUUCUGCACAACAGGGAUGCAACUAGUCGAGUGGCAAAAUGGGCGAUUGAACUCCUUCCCUUGGAUAUCAAGUUUGAGGCAAAGAAAGCUAUCAAGUCCCAAGCAAUAGCAGAUUUCCUCGCCGAGUGGAUCGAACAGCAACCGCCGACUCAAGUUCACUCGGAGCACUGGACCAUGUUCUUUGACGGAUCCAAGAUGUUGAACGGUUCUGGUGCUGGAGUAGUUCUGGUAUCCCCCCGAGGAGACAAGCUCAGAUAUGUCCUCCAGAUUCACUUUGAUUCCCCCAACAAUGAAGCAGAGUAUGAAGCACUCCUGUAUGGGUUGCGCAUGGCCAUCUCACUCGGCGUCCGUCGCCUCAUGGUCUAUGGCGACUCAGAUUUGGUAGUUAAUCAAGUGAUGAAGGAGUGGGACGUCAGAAGCCCAGCCAUGACUGGUUACUGCAACGCGGUGAGAAAGCUUGAGAAGAAGUUCGAGGGGUUAGAACUCCACCACAUCCCCCGAUUGAAAAAUCAAGCAGCCGAUGAAUUGGCAAAGAUAGGUUCCAAGAGAGAGGCCAUUCCCAGCAAUGUGUUCUUGGAGCAUAUUCACACUCCGAUAGUUCAGGAAGACCCUUUCAUUGAAGAGCCCCACAACCCAAGAGCGCCACGGAUCCGACUGAAGUCGAGGUCCCAGCUGUGGUCGACCUAAUCAUGGAGGUUCUGGCCAUUACUCCCGACUGGACGGUGCCCUACAUUGCGUACAUCCUCAGGAAAUAGCUCCCAGAGGAUGAAGAAGAAGCUCGACAGAUCGUCCACCGAUCUAAAGCUUUUACUGUGAUAAGAGGGCAGCUGUUCAGAGAAAGUGUGACUGGAGUCGGUCAGAAGUGCAUAACACCAGAAGAAGGUCGAAUGAUCCUCAAUGACAUCCACUCGGGGACCUGUGGUCACCAUGCGUCCUCUCGGGCCAACGUGGCUAAAGCAUAACGAGCUGGAUUCUAUUGGCCACGAGCAAAUGAGAUGGCGAAAGAUAUAGUCGACAAAUGUGAAGGUUGUUAAUUUUACUCUGAUAUGUCUCACAAGCCAGCGUCAGCCCUGAAGACCAUCCCCCUCGUCUGGCCCUUUGCUAUUUGGGGACUAGAUAUGGUUGGACCGCUGAGGACCGGCAGAAGCGGCUUCACUCACGUGCUCGUUGCAGUCGACAAGUUUACCAAAUGGAUCGAAGCCAAACCCAUCAAGAACCUUGACGCUAGCACCGCUGUCAGUUUUAUCAGAGAAUUGAUGUUCUGAUAUGGAGUCCCACAUAGCAUCAUCAUAGACAACGGAUCGGACUUCGAUUCCGAUGAGUUCGGAAUUUUCUGUGCCUCUUAGGGCACUCGAGUCGACUAUGCUCCUGUUGCUCACCCGCAGUCGAACGGACAAGCAGAAAGAGCCAAUGGCCUAAUUCUCAAAGGACUGAAGCCCCGACUGAUGCGUGAUCUCAAACACGCAGCAGGUGCUUGGGUUGAUGAACUUCCAUCGGUUCUGUGGGGUUUAAGGACAACUCCUAAUCGGUUGACUGGAAGAACUCCUUUCUUCUUAGUCUAUGGAGCCGAAGCUGUUCUGCCAAGUGACUUGCUCCACAACGCACCCCGAGUUGAACUCUUCUCCGAAGCAGAAGCAGAGCAGGCCCGACAAGAUUCAGUCGAUCUCUUAGAGGAGGAAAGAGAGAUGGCCUUGAUCCGCUCGACCAUUUAUCAGCAAGAUUUGCGUCGAUUCCGCGCUAGGAAUGUGAGGGGUCGGGCCUUUCAAGAAGGAGACUUGGUUCUUCGAGUGGAUCAACAGAAACCACACAAUCUCGCUCCAACUUGGGAAGGCCCCUUCAUCGUCACCAAAGUUCUCCACAACAGAGCAUACCAUCUUUACAGUAUCGAGCAUCAGAAAGACGAGCCACGGGCUUGGAACGCGGAGCUGCUCCGCCCCUUUUAUACUUAAACACUCGUUCGAAUAAAAUGUAAUAAGCGACACCUUUUGUAAUUCGUUUAUCAAAGACAAGAGCUUACGGUUCUCUCAUUCGAUUGUGUUGUUCUUAUUUACUCCUGAAAUCCCCCAGUGGGUGGGCUUAGUCGCGAAUCCGUUCCGCCUAAGUUCGAAAAAAUCCUACCGAGUGAAGAGCAAUCCUUCCACUCGGGGGCUUAGCUGCAGUCGAGCACUCGCCUAAGUUCUCUGACUAAGAGGCUUAACGGCAGUCCAGCACUCGCCUAAGUUUGGAAAAAUCCUACCGAGUAGAGAGCAAUCCUCCCACUCGGGGGCUUAGCUAGAGCAAAGCACUCGCCUAAGUUCUCUCACUAAGAGGCUUAACGGGAGUCCAGCACUCCCCUAAGUUUGAAAAAAUCAUACCGAAUGGAGAGCAGUCCUCCCACUCGGGGGCUUAGCUGCAGUCGAGCNNNNNNNNNNNNNNNNNNNNNNNNNNNNNNNNNNNNNNNNNNNNNNNNNNNNNNNNNNNNNNNNNNNNNNNNNNNNNNNNNNNNNNNNNNNNNNNNNNNNNNNNNNNNNNNNNNNNNNNNNNNNNNNNNNNNNNNNNNNNNNNNNNNNNNNNNNNNNNNNNNNNNNNNNNNNNNNNNNNNNNNNNNNNNNNNNNNNNNNNNNNNNNNNNNNNNNNNNNNNNNNNNNNNNNNNNNNNNNNNNNNNNNNNNNNNNNNNNNNNNNNNNNNNNNNNNNNNNNNNNNNNNNNNNNNNNNNNNNNNNNNNNNNNNNNNNNNNNNNNNNNNNNNNNNNNNGAGGCUUAACGGCAGUCCAGCACUCGCCUAAGUUUGAAAAAAUCCUACCGAGUGGAGAGCAGUCCUCCCACUCAGGGGCUUAGCUGCAGUCGAGCACUCGCCUAAGUUCUCUCACUAAGAGGCUUAACGGCAGUUCAGCACUCGCCUAAGUUUGAAAAAAUCCUACCGAGUGGAGAGCAGUCCUCCCACUCGGGGGCUUAGCUGCAGUCGAGCACUCGCCUAAGUUCUCUCACUAAGAGGCUUAACGGCAGUCUAGCACUCGCCUAAGUUUGAAAAAAUCAUACCGAGUGGAGAGCAAUCCUCUCACUCGGGGGCUUAGCCGCGGUNNNNNNNNNNNNNNNNNNNNNNNNNNNNNNNNNNNNNNNNNNNNNNNNNNNNNNNNNNNNNNNNNNNNNNNNNNNNNNNNNNNNNNNNNAGCACUCGCCUAAGUUUGGAAAAAUCCUACCGAGCGAAGAGCAGUCCUCCCACUCGGGGGCUUAGCUGCAGUCGAGCACUCGCCUAAGUUCUCUCACUAAGAGGCUUAACAGCAGUCCAGCACUCACCUAAGUUUGAAAAAUCCUACCGAGUGGAGAGCAGUCCGCCCACUCGGGGGCUUAGCUGCAGUCGAGCACUCGCCUAAGUUCUCUCACUAAGAGGCUUAACGGCAGUCCGGCACUCGCCUAAGUUUGGAAAAAUCCUACCGAGUGGAAAGCAAUCCUCCCACUCGGGGGCUUAGCUGCAGUCCAGUACUCGCCUAAGUUUGAGACCCAUCCCUAUCCGCAAGGACGACGAGGUGCAGGUCGACUGCAACCUUCUUCUUCGGAGCUGCGGCACUAAUACAAUGUCCGCUUCAUCCCUAUUCGCAAGGACGACGAGGUGCAGGUCGACUGACACCUUCUCCUUCGGAGCUGCGGCACAAAUACAACGUCCGCUCCAUCCCUAUCCGCAAGGACGAAGAGGUGGAGCAAGCAAAGUCCAUCCGAAGGCAAACACAAGCACAUUCGGAGAUAAGCCAAAUUCAGAUAAAUACUAAAAGGUUCCAAGCAGCGAAUCAAAAGUACUCGGGCACCAAGCCCGAAGGAUUUUAACGGUUACAGAAACCACUCGGCAUUCCGAGGCAAAUUUAAAGUGUAACCAAGUUUCAUAAGAUUGUUCACUCAGUCGGAGGAGGACUGGCAGGCUCCACGAAUGAGUCUAGAUCGAUCCCAUCAGCGAUCCGAGUGGCGGCAGCAAUGAAAGUCUCCAUGAAGGACUGGAAGUCGUGCUUUUUGGUGUUAGCGACUUUGAUCGCAGCCACCUUGUCUUCACGAACCUCCUUGCAAUGGACUCGCACCAGGGACAGCGCCACGUCAGCACCACACCGAGCGAAGGAUUUCUUCCAUUCUUGCACUCGGUCAGGGAUCUCGUUCAGUCGAGUCAUCAGAGAUUCCAGAUCAUUCUGAAGCGUCGCCUUCGGCCAAAGUGUCGAGUCGAUUCGAGAGACAACCUCCUUCAGGCGUGCGAGGUAGCUUGUGGCGCUGGCGAUACGGGACUCCAGUCGGAGCAUGUUCAUCGCAGUUUUGUCGUAGACCGGGGAAGUGAUAGGGUCCAGACCCGUCUCGACCCUCCCAGUUUCUUCGUCAAAGUCUUGAAAAAGUUUUGCAGCCAAAAUCCGAUGGCAAACAUCAACACACUCGGAUUAAAAGAAAUACCUCCCAGCACGAGAUAAAGCUUCUUGGCGAGGGUCCUCAGAUAAGCUUCUAUGUCGUUCCUCUUGCGGAUCGCAGACUCCAACUUUUCGUUCAGGGCGACCUUAUCCUUCUUCAGGCUGGUCACAUCGCGGUUAGCUUCAUUAAGACAAGAUGUCAGUCUAGUCCCCUCUCCUUCAAGCAUUCCGACUGAAGCAAGCUUCUUCUCUACGAGAGCGGUUUUGUCUUGGGCUGCUUUUUGCGCGGCGGCGAGGUCCGAGUCCUUCUUGUCCAGAGCCAACUUCAUUUUCUCUGCAAAAGAAAUAAUCGAAUCAAAAAAGAGAUCAAAGAGAUAUAUUGAAAUUCAGUCGGCAAUCAGUUACCUUCCAUACCAGCGGCCUCGUCUUGAGCUUUUUUCAGAUUUUGCUGAGCCAAUUCCAAGUCUAAGUUGAGUUGCCUCUGCUUCUCUUCGAGUUCGACAAACUUGGAGAUAAGAGUACAAGACUUCUGCAGGAGGCAAGAGACAGGUCAAUCGAUAGGUUCGAAAACAGUUCAUUUCCGAAUGAAUAAAACCUAAAGAAGUGGACAACAAGCUAUUCAGACCCCAGUCGACUGCCAGCAGUCGACCGCGGUAUCGGGGACUACACCCAGUGGGUGCACUUGGCGUGCCCCCACCGGUUCUGAUCCCACUCGCUCGGCCCGCCGGAGUCGAGUGCAAGGAGUAAAAAAAGAGAGAGAGAAAGAACAAUUGCGCCGUUAAGAAAAGAAGAACUCAGACCACAGUCGACUGCCAGCAGUCGACCGCGGUCUCGGGGACUACACCCAGUGGGUGCACUUGGCGUGCCCCCACCGGUUCUGAUCCCACUCGCCCAGACCGAGUGGAAGAGCGAAACUACCAAAAACGACAGCAACACCCAGUGGGUGCUCUAAUUCAACGCGAACAACAGGAGAUUGUGCAGAAGAAGAUUUUUCAAGAACAAAAACAGUCGGAAAGUCUACUCACCUCGACGUUGGCCCGAAGAGCGGCACUAGCGUCGUAGGCAGCCUGACUGCUCUCGUGCACUAUCUUCACCCACUCCAUCAUCAUAUCAUCCUGUCGGAUGGCUUCCGCAGCCGCUUCCGACUGGUUGUCUGGGACGGGGUAGCUGGUGAAAAAAUGUGCAGACGACCCAGGUGCAGCUGCUUGAGGCUCCAUGGUGUGGAGUUGGAUAGUUGAAGGAACCACAGGCGUGGUCGACCGCGUGGGGUGCCCACUCGGCAAGGGUGCAGCGAACGUCACAGCGGCCCUGCCCGCAUCUUCAGCUUGACAGACGGGAGGCAUUGCAGUUAGUUCCUGCCGAGCCACCCUGCCAGCUGUUACCUUCUUGCUCUUCCUAGGCUUAGGAGCCACAUCUUCGUCGUCGUCCGGAAGGUCAAUGAUGUUGGGUGGAGCUGCAAGACAGAACAUUCGACCCCAAGUGAACCACUCGACCCUAAAAGGAUCAAGAAUCGAAAUCGCAAGAGUUCAUACCUGGGUUAGAGGUCACCGCAUCCUCCAUUUCCUCGUCCCGGUACUGGUAUGAAGAGGUCCCUGACGUAGCAGCACUGCAAAGGCCCGCAUUCAAUCGGUUACACCCAGUUAAUUGAAUCCACAUAAAGGACAAGUUAGAUGGUUACCCGGAGAUAGUAGGAACGGUCACUUUGAUCCGAGGCAAAGCUUUGGGCGGUUUGGAAGAGAUGGCUUUCGGCACUUUUGGCGCUGGAAGCGGCGCGACCUUGGAUUGCUUUGGAGGAUUCUCAGUCGGCGUCGGGGAAGACAUCCUGGGGCGCUUCGAGGAUUGCCCGAUCGGCGCAGCCACCAAGUCCGAAGCGCGUGCCAGGUCAUGAGUGUGCUUGGACCUCCUCUCCCUGCGAGGAGGUGAGUCGACUUCUUCCUCAUCGAUCGAUUCAUCGCUCUCCUCGUCCUCCUCGACUUCCGAAUGCUCCUCGCCGCUCUCGCCCCCGCUCCCUUCUUCUUCAACAUCGGGGUCCUGCACUCCGUUGGACAUCGAGUACAUUUCAAUGAGGUCCUGAAAAGAUAACAAUCAAAAGACAUUCAGUCGACCACAAACGGGACAUCAUGUGGUGAAUCGGAAAGAUACUUGAUAAAACAUAAAUAUACCUGCUCCGGCUGGCGCGAGUUGUCGAAUGGAAUCACCCUCCUGGAUCCCCGAGGGUUGUCUUUGUUGCCAGUGAUUCCCCUCAACCAGUUCUCCAAGAUAUCCUCGCUGACCUCCUCCGGGUGGAUCCGAGUGGUAUCUUCGAGCCCAGAGUACAUCCACAUCAGAUGAUCGCGCGCGUGAAGAGGUUGGACGCGUCGACCGAGAAAGACCUCCAGCAGAUCCAUCCCGGUCACUCCGUCGCGGACAAGCUGGACGACCCGUUCGACCAGCUCCUUGACCUGCGCCUUCUCUUCGGGAACUACCUUCAGGGGAGCAGGCUUCUCCACUCGAGCCAAGGAGAAAGGACACUAGUGCAGAACCGGGCAAUUGCACCGGUUCGCAAGGGGCUUUAGUGCCGGUUCGGUAACCGGCACUAAAUUGUAGGCACUAAAGCCCCCCCCUUUAGUACCGGUUCAGCACGAACCAGUGCUAAAGGGAAAACACGUGGCACGAGCCAGCUCCGUGGGCGCGUAGGACAUUAGUACCGGUUGGUAACACCAACCGGUACUAAAUGUUUUGGUGUGUUUUGGUUUUAUUUUUAUUUUUACUUUAAUUUUGUGUUUUCAAUUUAAUUUAGUGAUUGUUUUACAUUAUAAUGAGUUGCUAAAUCAUUAGGUGAUUAGUUUGACUGGAUGCGUGGAUCCUAGCUAACUCAUCAAGUAUAUGUCAUAUCCAUAUUAUAUAUACUUGAUCACCUACUUAAGUGAUCGAGGUAAUAUGGAUAUGGCAUAUAUAUACUUGAUCACUUAGCUAGAAUCCAUCCAGUUGAAACUAAUAUGCAAUUUCUUUCAUAAAUGAUAUAAUAACUCAUCAUCAUCAUCAUCAUCAUCAUCAUCAUCAUCAUCAUCAUAUUAAUUAAUAUAAAAACUCUUGCAUCAUAUAUAUCAUCACCAACGGUUUUCAUAGCAAAGAUAUCAUCGAGUUCAACAUCGUAAUGAUAUUAUAAGCGUUCAUAACACCACAAAAGCAAAUCACUCUUUGAGAUUAAGUUCAGGACGAAGAACACGGACAUGAGAGGACAAGUACUAAGAGCAUGAACUAGCUAAUUAAUCACUCCUGUUGCUCUCUCUCACGUAAAAUAGCAUAGAACAUGUAUAGCUUUUCUGAUUCAUCAGAUUGGAGCAUGCAGAUGAACCUGUCUCCUAAUCAUGGGUUGCGCUUCUGAUUGCUGCCCCCUAGUACUUCUCUGUGAUCGUUCACAAUUUUGCUCCAGUCUUUUACUAUUAAGCAUUCCUCGCUAUUAGAAAUCCUGAAUGCACUAAAGUGCAUUGUAGGAUAUCUUGACCGUAAGCUAACAAUAUUCAUGGUACCUUUAGUCUCGAUCCAAUCAGGCACAACAUUCAUCGGGAGUCCCUGUUGAAGAACAUCGUAUAGUAACAUACUUAGCAAUGAAGUUUAGCUUAAAAAAUAAUGUAUGCAAAAGAUGCACUGAGAAGAAAUAGUAGAAAUCUUACCAUCUUUCCUAAAUAUAUGUGACCUUCAGUACGAACACUAUUGGUCGCAAGUUUUGAGUACUAACAUUUCUAAGUGCAGGAAAGAAAUUUGUCUUGACAGCAUCAAGAUCCUCAAGCCAUGAAACAUAAUGACUUGUCUCCUCGCAGUUUAGUUCAGCCCCGGGACAGUGGAUGGUCCUGUCUACCAAGCGCCGGACAUGUUUGCUUGAUUGGAAGUAAGCUGUCAAUAUUAAUUGAGAUCUAUUAAUUAUUCAACUGGUUCAAAUAAUCUCAUAUCGAAGACAUAAAUAUGGUUGAUAAACUCACAUAAUGGUAGAACUGGAGGCAUCUGCACAUCGACCCGGAUGUCUCUAUUACCUUCAAUAUCAUCUUCCGGACGAAUAUCAAAGGUGAUAACCAUAUCAGGCUCAAAUGCAUAAGCCUUGCAUAGUGCUUGCCAAGUUUUGCAUUCAAAAUAGGUGUAUGUGUCUGCAUUAUAUAAUUUGACGUUGAAGGUAUAACCAUGCUCGGUCUUCAAGUAAACUUUUUUUACCUCCAUAGUUUCGUUAGGACUGAAACCUAUCUUAUCCAAGACAAAAAUUCUUGCAUGACAAGGGAUACGCUAGUAUAAUAGUGAAAAAUUAAAAUUAAAAGUUGAAGCAAAUGAAGCAUAAGUCAUGCUUAAUUACGAAAAAAGACUUGUCGUUGUGACUUACUGUAUCCACUUCAAAGUUCUCAUCCAGCUUGAUGUUGAAGCGUCUAUCAUCAACUAGAAAAUUUCUGCCGCACAUGCCACGCUGGUCUUCGCAGUAUUCGCACAUAAUGAAAUCGUGUUCAUCGUCAGACGACAUUCCUAUGUUCAUAGGUGAAACAUUAAACACUUAUUAGUUCUAUUAAUUCAACUAAUUCUGUUAAUUCAACUAGUUCAACUAAGCACUUACGAAGAAUAUACCUAAUUAAUUGAACUAAUUCAACUAACUAGUUUAACUAAUUAAUUAGAUAAUGAAAUCUCAUAUAACUAAAUUAAAUAUAUAUCUAACAUAUAAUUUAUAUCUAAUAUCUAACAUAUAUGUUCAUAUAUAGGUGAAACAUUAAACACNNNNNNNNNNNNNNNNNNNNNNNNNNNNNNNNNNNNNNNNNNNNNNNNNNNNNNNNNNNNNNNNNNNNNNNNNNNNNNNNNNNNNNNNNNNNNNNNNNNNNNNNNNNNNNNNNNNNNNNNNNNNNNNNNNNNNNNNNNNNNNNNNNNNNNNNNNNNNNNNNNNNNNNNNNNNNNNNNNNNNNNNNNNNNNNNNNNNNNNNNNNNNNNNNNNNNNNNNNNNNNNNNNNNNNNNNNNNNNNNNNNNNNNNNNNNNNNNNNNNNNNNNNNNNNNNNNNNNNNNNNNNNNNNNNNNNNNNNNNNNNNNNNNNNNNNNNNNNNNNNNNNNNNNNNNNNNNNNNNNNNNNNNNNNNNNNNNNNNNNNNNNNNNNNNNNNNNNNNNNNNNNNNNNNNNNNNNNNNNNNNNNNNNNNNNNNNNNNNNNNNNNNNNNNNNNNNNNNNNNNNNNNNNNNNNNNNNNNNNNNNNNNNNNNNNNNNNNNNNNNNNNNNNNNNNNNNNNNNNNNNNNNNNNNNNNNNNNNNNNNNNNNNNNNNNNNNNNNNNNNNNNNNNNNNNNNNNNNNNNNNNNNNNNNNNNNNNNNNNNNNNNNNNNNNNNNNNNNNNNNNNNNNNNNNNNNNNNNNNNNNNNNNNNNNNNNNNNNNNNNNNNNNNNNNNNNNNNNNNNNNNNNNNNNNNNNNNNNNNNNNNNNNNNNNNNNNNNNNNNNNNNNNNNNNNNNNNNNNNNNNNNNNNNNNNNNNNNNNNNNNNNNNNNNNNNNNNNNNNNNNNNNNNNNNNNNNNNNNNNNNNNNNNNNNNNNNNNNNNNNNNNNNNNNNNNNNNNNNNNNNNNNNNNNNNNNNNNNNNNNNNNNNNNNNNCGACGGGCGCGGCGAAGAAGUUUGGAUCGAGAAGAACUACUGGUGGUCGAUGAACUGAUUUUUUCGUAGGUUCCAUAUAUAUAGGAGGGGUCUUUAGUGCCGGUUGUAGCCACCAACCGGUACUAAAGGCCAAUUUUCGCCAGGCCAAGGGGCGGGAAACGGCCCCUUUAGUACCGGUUCGUGCCACGAACCGGUACUAAAGACCCCCCCCCUUUAGUACCGGUUGGAGCCACCAACCGGUACUAAAGGUUGUGCGCUGCCACCGGCGGUGCACAAUGUUUAGUCCCACAUCGCCGAGCGAAGGGCAGCCGCACUGGUUUAUAAACCUAGCCACGGCUGCUCCUUCAAGCUUCUCUAUAUAGCAGGCUUCUGGGCCUAAUUACUAGGGCGCGCUGUCCUGUGAGUCUGCUGGCCCUUCUGGGCCUGCAUUUGCACACCCUAGGUCUGGCAGGCCCACUGGGCAGCGUGCCAACAAAUUUUUUAUAUAGCGGGAAACGGCCCCUUUAGUACCGGUCCAUGCCACCAACCGGUACUAAUGGUUGUGCGCUGCCACCGGUGGUGCACAAUGUUAUGCGGGUGAAAUGAUGAUACCAUGCCAAGUUUCAACAUUUUCAUAAUUCAUUUUGUAGUGAUUUUCAAUUUCACGGUCAUUUAGCUCUCUAAACAAUUAGGUAAAUGAUCGAAAAACAACAAAUGAUGUUAGAACAUGUUGAAAAUUGAUGACGUCGCUUUGAAUGCUGCAUACUGAACACAAAAGAAGUCCGGAGUUCAAAUAAGUUUAAAAAACAUUGAAGUGGCCGUGUAACAGAUGAGUUCUCGUCCGAAACCCUGAUACUCCGAAAGAGUUUGUCCAGUUUGUACACGAAGUGCAUCCAGUUUUUGCCGUGGCCCUCUCUACUCUUUCGCGCAUGCUAUGCGGGUGAUAUGAUGAUACCAUGCCAAGUUUCAACAUUUUCAGGAUUCAUUUUGUAGUGAUUUUCAAUUUCACGAUCAUUUAGCUCUUUAAACAAUUAGGUAAAUGACCAAAAAACAACAAAUGAUGUCAGAACAUGUUGGAAAUUGAUGACAUCGCUUUGAAUGCUGCAUACUGAACACAAAAGAAGUCCAGAGUUCAAAUAAGUUUAAAAAACAUUGAAGUGGCGGUGUAACAGAUGAGUUCUCGUCUGAAACCCUGAUACUCCAAAAGAGUUUGUCCAGUUUGUACACAAAGUGCGUCCAGUUUUUGCCGUGACCCUCUCUACUCUUUCGCGCAUGCUAUGCGGGUGAUAUGAUGAUAGCAUGCCAAGUUUCAACAUUUUUAGGAUUCAUUUUGUAGUGAUUUUCAAUUUCACGGUCAUUUAGCUCUCUAAACAAUUAGGUAAAUGACCGAAAAACAACAAAUGAUGUCAGAACAUGUUGGAAAUUGAUGAUGUUGCUUUGAAUGCUGCAUACUGAACACAAAAGAAGUCCGGAGUUCAAAUAAGUUAUUAAAAAUAAAAAAGAGGUGCAAUGCUGGUUAAUUUGCUUCAAGCCAUUCGGAAUUGUGUAGACUGCACUGCACAUAGCUCAGUGCAAUCUAUGCUAUUCCGCAAGGCUUGAAGCUAAUCAACAUGCAGGUGAGCAUUGCAACUCUUCGUCAUUGUCUGUGCACUCACGGCUUAUAAACCGCUCAUACUGCCUCUCUCUUGGCGAGGUGGGACUAAAAAUCAGCUUACAAAGAAACUCUAGUACCGGUUCAUGGCACGAACCGGUACUAAAGGUCUUCGUGGGGGCCCCAGCCUGACCAUAGCGUGACACAGCCUCAUUAGUACCGGUUCAUGGCAUGAAGUGGUACUAAAGGUUACCCACGAACUGGUACUAAUGAUGCCCGCCCGCCUAGUCGUUGGAACCGGCACUAAUGGUCACAUUAGUGCCGGCUGAAAUUCAAACCGACACUAAUGUGCUUCACAUUUGACCCUUUUUCUACUAGUGGGAGGAAGUCCAGUCGACUGGCCAGGGGUUGGCUAAUCCUUGCAGUAAAACCAAGUCGACUGCCAGCCCCGGACCGAGUCAGGAAGGAUCAUCGCUGGCAAAGUACUCUUGCUCCUCAUCUGGAUCCCCAGACCACCGCACAUCUGGAUCACCCGCGUCCUCUCGUCACUCGACUUGGCCUUUUUGACCGACUGGGAACGGCAAGUGAAGAUGUGUUUGAAAAGCCCCCAGUGCGGUCGACAGCCCAAGAAGUUUUCGCACAUGGACACGAAAGCGGCCAGAUAGACUAUGGUGUUCGGAGUGAAAUGGUGGAGUUGAGCCCCAAAGAAGUUCAAAAAACCCUGGAAGAAAGGGUGGGGAGGCAGCGAGAAUCCGCGAUCUACAUGGGUUGCUAGGAGGACACACUCGCCCUCUCUAGGCUGCGGCUCAGUUUCGUCCCCCGGGAGCCAAGCCGACUUGUGGGGGAUCAAUCCCCCCUCCACCAGGUCGUCGAGGUCGUCCUGCGUGAUUGCCGAGCGGAUCCAGUCGCCUUGGAUCCAGCCCACCGGCAGGCCAGACCUCGACGAGGAUCCGCCCCGGCUGGUCCGCUUGCCCUUCGCCUUCGCGGUCGCCUUCUUCGUGCGUUCCAGCGCUGCCGUCUUAUCCUUCCCCAUGGUGGCAGAUCGAGCUCGAGCGAAGGUCCGGCGAUGAGGCGGAAGCGAGAGUGGCGGAGAGAUCGGGAGAAAGAGAAGAGAGAAUGGUGGUGUGCGGAGUAGAGGCCUGGCCCGAGACCUUUUAUAAGACCUUCCGUCGAGUGGCUGACUAGUGGACCCAAGCGAUCUAAACAAAUCCCACAACAGUCGCGCGUGCAGUAUGUGGCGAAAAAGGUGGCGCGGGGAUCGAGGAGACUUACCUAAUCCGCCCCGACGACCUCGUUUCCUCCCAUGUGGUGCGCUUCCCAAAAUUCAAAUCCCGCGAGAUCCGCGGAGAGCGGAACAACCUGUCAGACUGAAGACAAACACCCUCUACAUCAUCAUUCGGAAUUCAACCAUGAAAGUUCACUCGACAACAACCAAGAAUGGACCAAGGCGACUGAGAAAGGAGUCGGCGUCGUCUCCUCAACUCAUUGUUUCAGGACAAGGCAUAUUCAUAGCACAAAGAGUGGGUCGGAAGUGUUCUCAACCCCUUCCUCAUUCGAACCCUGAUCCAUUCGGGGGCUAAUGAUGAAGCUAUGUACCUAGGGUAGGGUCAUGGACCUGUCCAGCAUACCCUCCCCGAGGACAUCUUUACAAAGAAUCAGAAGCAGUCGAAGAGAAAAUAUCAUCCACUCGACCAUGAAGAUGUGCUCACUCGACUUCCUUGAAGACACUCGACCACCAGAAGACGAGAAGCCCUCCACUCUGCAACGGUCGCGACUUAAACCAUAGCAUUAUGGGCAUUUAUAACACUUUAUUGUAGACGUUACCAGUAACGCCCCACCUUUAUGAACAUUGAACCUUGUGUAACGGAGGGGAGCUGGGGUCCUGGCGCACUCUAUAUAAGCACCCCCCUCCUUUGGGAAAGGGGUUCGCACUUUUGUAAACACACACACACACACACGUAUAAUCCAGUCGACCGCCUCAGGGCACCGAGACGUAGGGCUGUUACUUCCUCCGAGAAGGGCCUGAACUCAUAAAACUCAUGUGUACAACUACUCCAUAGCUAGGAUCUUGCCUCCUCAUACGUACCCCCCAUUCUACUGUCAGUCUUAGAUCCACGACAUCGGGAGGCGGAUCCGUUGACUGGGAAGACUUUGGUGGACCCAUGACUCCGUUCCCUCUGCUCGGCCUUCGUCUUCUAUCAUAGUUGUAUUAGCCCAUCAUUCUAACGGUACAACUCUAUUUUUUGAGAAAAUUCUUUUCCCACUCUUAUAAUAUAAAGUGCUUUGUACACUCUACAAUGCCUAUGAAGCUGACUUAGAAAUAGAUGCCUCAAGAAUGCACAUGUUUGAUGACCGCACAUUACUCAUUACCCAAGUGAAAAAGUGUUAUAUACAUUACCCAACUUCAUGGAGUCAACUCCCCUGAUGUACUCCAGGGUGCAGUUGGGUCACUGGCAAGUGGGCCAACUUGGUUUCUGGCCCACAUGUCAGUGGCCCAACUGUGCCCUGCAUUAUGUCAGAGGUGCCUCGUCCCAACUUCGUUGGAGUUUUCAAGCAAUCGGUCUAAUUCUGCGUAAGAAUUGUUGCAAAGAAAAGUCUGCAAACUUGGGCUGAAACUUUCUGAAAGAUCGUGGAUGUCGCCUAGAGGGGGGUGAAUAGGCGUUUUAAAAUAAUUACGGUUUAGGCUUGAACAAAUGCGGAAUAAACCUAGCGGUUAAUUUGUCAAGCACAAAACCUAAAACAACUAGGCUCACCUAUGUGCACCAACAACUUAUGCUAAGCAAGAUAAGCAACUAUGUGAUAGCAAGAUAUAUGACAAGAAACAAUAUGGCUAUCACAAAGUAAAGUGCAUAAGUAAAGGGCUCGGGUAAGAGAUAACCGAGGCACGCGGAGACGAUGAUGUAUCCCGAAGUUCACACCCUUGCGGAUGCUAAUCUCCGUUUGGAGCGGUGUGGAGGCACAAUGCUCCCCAAGAAGCCACUAGGGCCACCAUAAUCUCCUCACGCCCUCGCACAAUGCAAGAUGUCGUGAUUCCACUAAGGGACCCUUGAGGGCGGUCACCGAACCCAUACAAAUGGCAACCCUUGGGGGCGGUCACUGAACCCGUACACUUUGGCUACCCUUGGGGGCGGUCACCGGUACCAGUCAAAUUGCUCGGGGCGAUCUCCACAACCUAAUUGGAGACCCCGACACUUGCCCGGAGCUUUACACCACAAUGAUUAGCUUGACCAUGCAAUGCAACAACCAAUAAUGCAUGCGUAUGAGAUGCAAAUGCUUAGGAACAAAACCGAGAAAACUCUAAAGACUUCUCCACAAAACUCUCCGAAACCUCCACAAAACUCUCUGAAACUUCUCCCCCAUUGGCAUCGAUUGCCAAAAUGGGCGAAAAUCUUAGAAGGCCAAUAUAGAUUGAGUUCCUCCAGAAGUUGUGUAUGUCUCAACAAGAGAGUGGAAUGCACUACACAUAUCCAACAGUAAAUACUUGGAGGAAGACAAACUAUAUUGAGGCCCAAAGAUUGCAAAAGAAAGAUAUGCCACAAAGACAUAACAAAGAGAGACACAAGCAAUCAAGCAAUCGAAAGGUACCAAUUGAAGCAAGCAAUCAAAAGAUACCAAUUGAACCAACUAGGCCAAUGAUCCUACGACCCACAAGAAAGAAAGAUAUUAUGACAUGAGCAGAGGAGUGUUCUAAAGAAACUAGAGAAGCUCCCCAUGAUUUGUGCACAUCAAGAAAUUUGUAUUUGGAUACAAAGUGCACAAAAUAGGAUCAUAGCUCCCCCAAAAUCAAUAGAAACUCACACCAAGUGCGAGUGAGAAUAAAAGAAACUAAGCCUAGUACAUGCAACUAACACAUGGUUGAGCAACAAGUGAAAGAGGCAACUUAAGAAUGGGCUCAACCAAAAUGAUGUGUGAGUCAAGGCAAUGCACUUGAGAAGACUUAAUGUACGGAUGAGCAUUAAGCAUCAAUAAAGUCUUGAAAGAAUGAGGCACACGGUGCAAGGCCUAUCAUUCCCACACACAACUAGCAAAUGGGUUCACAAGCUUACUAAUAAGCAUAAAAAGAACCUAUGCUUGUGACAACCCGUGGUGAAGAUAGAAGAUGAAAGCCUCAUCAAGACGAGGGAUACCAAUACGAUGGCAAAAGCCUCGUAAAGAUAAGCAUGAGGAAAGUAAUCUUCACCACACAAGAGUGCAUCAAGAUGCAACGAGAUAAGACACGCACUCAAGUCAAAAGCUUUCACGGAGCCACCAAAGAAAUAACAUAAGAAAGACAAGGUGGACGUGAAAGAAAGGAUAUCAACUAGAUAUGAAACUUUUCUCAAGUGUAUAAGAUUCUAGGUAGACGAAAUCAUGAAGAUAUAUAUCUACAAAGAAGGAUGUACACCCGAAAUAGUUGCAACACGAGGAACAAGAUAUCCACAAGGAAAUCAUAAAUAUACCAAUAAGAUAUUUGCUUGAAAGCAUAGCACAUGGCUAGAUACAGUCUUAUUGUAUACAAAUGAAUUCCUACUACACAACUAUCAAAGACAUCACAACUAGCAACAUGAGAUCAUCGUUGAGAUGCUUUGAGAAAGGAAACAAGUAUCACAAGAUGGAAUAAAAAAACAUGCUAAGAUGCAACCUACACAAGGUUGAUGCAAGAAAUGUGUGCAUGAAGUAUAUGAAGAUACUUGUUACCGAGAUAACAUUGGAAGGAUGUAGUAGAUACCAAUUGAAGGUACAAAGUAGUUCAUUGAUCAUCCUAGCUUGACUCCAAUAAGCACAUGGUGACAACACCUUCCUUGUGAGUGAGCCGAGAAUCCAAUGCAUCUCCACUUGUUCCUAGAACAACAACACAAACAAAAUGGUACCCAAACUCAUUGGGACCAAAGAGUUAGAGAACCAACAAUACAUAGGACAAACUCCACAUAAAUAUGUGCAUAUAGAUAUGAAAAAGAAUUUCAUGCACAUCUCAUCCAAUUUGAGACUUGGUGGAGUUUCCCUUAUAUAUUGGGUCUAAGAAAGAAAGCAUGCCAAAGAUACUACACGAAGCUAAUAUGCAUGCUCAAGACUUUCAAGAACCGAUACCAAAAGACAAAGAAAAAA
rnacentral:lncRNA from 1 species